GCCCUCCACCUUCGUGGGCCCCCUGUUGCUCCACUGACAUACUUCUUCCUCCUAUAUAUACCUACGUACCCCCAAACUACCAGAUACGGAGCCAAAAACCUAAUUCCACCGCCGCAACCUUCUGUACCGCCGCAACCCUCAGACCUUCGGGUCCAUAGUUAUUAGCUAGAUGGCUUCUUCUCUCUGUUUGGAUCUCAAUACAAUGUUCUCCCCCUCUCUCGUGGAGAUCUAUUCGAUGUAAUCUUCUUUUGCGGUGUGUUUGUUGAGACCGAUGAAUUGUGGGUUUAUGAUCAAGUUUAUCUAUGAACAAUAUUUGAAUCUUCUCUGAAUUCUUUUAUGUAUGAUUGGUUAUCUUUGCAAGUCUCUUCGAAUUAUCAGUUUGGUUUUGUCUACUAGAUUGAUCUUUCUUGCAAUGGGAGAAGUGCUUAGCUUUUGGUUCAAUCUUGCGGUGUCCUUUCCCAGUGACAGUAGGGGCAGCAAGGCACGUAUUGAAUUGUUGCCAUCAAGGAUAACAAGGUGGGUUUUUUAUCAUAUUGCAUGAAUUUAUCCCUCUACAUCAUGUCAUCUUGCUUAAAGCGUUACUCUGUUCUUAUGAACUUAAUACUCUAGAUGCAUGCUGGAUAGCGGUCGAUGUGUGGAGUAAUAGUAGUAGAUGCAGGCAGGAGUCGGUCUACUUGUCUCGGACGUGAUGUCUAUAUACAUGAUCAUACCAAGAUAUUCUCAUAACCAUGCUCAAUUCUGUCAAUUGCUCAACAAUAAUUUGUUCACCCACCGUAAAAUACUUAUGCUCUUGAGAGAAGCCACUAGUGAAACCUAUGGCCCCCGGGUCUAUCUUUCAUCAUAUUAAUCUUCCAACACUUAGUUAUUUCCGUUGCCUUUUACUUUGCUUUUAUUUUUACUUUGCAUCUAUAUCAUAAAAAUACCAAAAAUAUUAUCCUAUCAUAUCUAUCAGAUCUCACUCUCGUAAGUGACUGUGUAGGGAUUGACAACCCCUUAUCCCGUUGGUUGCGAGGAUUUAUUUGUUUUGUGUAGGUGCGAGGGACUCGCGUGUAGCCUCCUACUGGAUUGAUACCUUGGUUCUCAAAAACUGAGGGAAAUACUUACGCUACUUUGCUGCAUCACCCUUUCCUCUUCAAGGGAAAACCAACGCAGUGCUCAAGAGGUAGCACGGCCCUCUGGGUGGAUCUUUGUGGCGGAGCGACAGGGCAGGUUGAGACCGCCUAGGUGAGAGGUGGGCCUGGCCCUGGUCGGCGUCCGCGGUUACUUCAAAAUAAUACGCUUAAUGAGUUCUUGGUAUUUGAUCUGAGUCUGGCCACUGGCCUAUACGCACUAACCAACUACGUGGGAACAGUUAUGGGCACUCGGCGUCGUGGUAUCAGCAGAAGCCUUCGUGACGUUAGCGACUGAGCGGCGCUCGCCGGAUUGGACUGGAAUGCCUGCUAGGCUAGGUCUGCUUCCGGCCGCCCACGCAACAUGCAGGUGUGCAAUGGGCGAUGGGCCCAGACCCCUGCGCCAUUGGAUUUAGACCGGCGUGCUGACCUCUCUGUUGUGCCUAGGUAGGGCUGCGACGUGUUGAUGUUCCGAGGCCGGCCAUGACCCAGGAAAGUGAGUCCGGCCAAAUGGGAUCGAGCGUGUUGGGUAAUGUGGUGCACCUCUGCAGGGAAGUUUAUCUAUUUGAAUAGCCGUGAUCUUCGGUAACAGGACGACCCGGAGUUGUACCUUGACCUUAUGACAACUAGAAACGGAUACUUAAUAAAACACCCCCUUCCAAGCGCCAGAUAUAACCCGGUGAUCGCUCUCACACAGGGCGGCGAGGAGAGGAUCGCCGGGUAGGAGUUUGCUAUACGAUGCUACUUGGUGAACUUACCAUCUACUCUCUUCUACAUGCUGCAAGAUGGAGGCUGCCAGAAGUGUAGUCUUCGAUAGGAUUAGCUAUCCCCCUCUUAUUCUGGCAUUCUGCAGUUCAGUCCACCGAUAUAGCCCCUUUACACAGAUACCCAUGCACAUGUAGUGUAGAUCCUUGCUUGCGAGUACUUUGGAUGAGUACUCAUGGUUGCUUUUCUCCCCCUUUUCCCCCUUUCCUUUCUUCCUGGUUGUUGCAACCAGAUGCUGGAGCCCAGGAGCUAGACGCCACCGUCGACGAUGACUCCUACUACACCGGAGGUGCCUACUACUACGUGCAGGCCGCUGACGACGACCAGGAGUAGUUUAGGAGGAUCCCAGGCAGGUGGCCUGCGCCUCUUUCGAUCUGUACCCCAGUUUGUGCUAGCCUUCUUAAGGCAUACUUGUUUACUUAUGUCUGUACUCAGAUAUUGUUGCUUCCGCUGACUCGUCAAUGAUCGAGCACUUGUAUUCGAGACCUCGAGGCCCCUGGCUUGUAUUAUGAUGCUUGUAUGACUUAUUUUAUUUUUAGAGUUGUGUUGUGAUAUGUUCCCGUGAGUCCCUGAUCUUGAUCGUACACGCUUGCGCGUAUGAUUAGUGUAUGAUUGAAUGAGGAGCGUCACAAGUUGGUAUCAGAGCCGACUGCCUGUAGGAAUCCCCCUUCCACACUCCUUGGCCGAAGUCGAGUCUAGACAUUGCAAAACUUUUUACUAACAUGGUUGUUUGUCUUACGGGCCCACGUCGCCAUUGGGUGGCAUUAGGAUCUUUUAUUCCUCGUCUAUACUCUGGGACUCUGAGCUCUCUUUUAUUCGGGUUAAAUGAUUUUGCUAAAAACAAAACUAACUUUAGGUUCUCGAAAAUACUUUCUCUCGGAGAGCCCCUCACUCCAGAUGAUCGCUUGCUGCACCGGAAGAUUUGGAAGAUACUCUACGAUGGUCUUUCAAGACUUUGUGCCAUUGCUUUUGCAAUUCCCUUCCAUCGAUAAACCCCUAUGGAUAACCACGUGCACUUGCCAUUGAUACAAGCAUUCCCCGUUGAUCUUGCUAUUGCAAGAUACCCCGAAAUUCUCGCUAUUGUUCCGAGGAUACUUGGUGCCUACUGCCUUGCAGUUCUAAGUCGCCUAAAUACCCCUACGGAUAAAUUCUUGCACCUAUCGAGUACCCGCUUAUCCCCAGUUGUUCAGUGAUGUCUACUAUGCGACCUUCUUCUUGUAGACGUUGUUGGGCCUCCAAGUGCAGAGGUUUGUAGGACAAUAGCAAAUUUCCCUCAAGUGGAUGACCUAAGGUUUAUCAAUCCGUGGGAGGCGUAGGAUGAAGAUGGUCUCUCUCAAACAACCCUGUAACCAAAUAACAAAGAGUCUCUUGUGUCCCCAACACACCCAAUAGAAUGGUAAAUUGUAUAGGUGCACUAGUUCGGCGAAGAGAUGGUCAUAUAAGUGCAAUAUGGAUGGUAGAUAUAGGUUUUUGUAAUCUGAAAAUAUAAAAACAGCAAGGUAACUAAUGAUAAAAGUGAGCACAAAUGGUAUUGCAAUGCUAGGAAACAAGGCCUAGGGUUCAUACUUUCACUAGUACAAGUUCUCUCAACAAUAAUAACAUAAUUGGAUCAUAUAACUAUCCCUCAACAUGCAACAAAGAGUCACUCCAAAGUCACUAAUAGCGGAGAACAAACGAAGAGAUUAUGGUAGGGUACGAAACCACCUCAAAGUUAUUCUUUCCGAUCAAUCCGUUGGGCUAUUCCUAUAAGUGUCACAAACAGCCCUAGAGUUCGUAGUAAAAUAACACCUUAAGACACACAUCAACCAAAACCCUAAUGUCACCUAGAUUCUCCAAUGUCACCUCAAGUAUCCGUGGGUAUGAUUAUAUGAUAUGCAUCACACAUUCUCAGAUUCAUCUAUUCAACCAACACAUAGAACCUCAAAGAUUGCCCCAAUGUUUCUACUGGAGAGUCAAGACAAAAACGUGUGCCAACCCAUAUGCAUAGGUUCAUGGGCGGAACCCGCAAGUUGAUCACCAAAACAUACAUCAAGUGAAUCAAUAGAAUAACCCAUUGUCACCAUGGUUAUUCCAUGCAAGACAUACAUCAAGUUUUCUCAAAUCAUUAAAGACUCAAUCCGAUAAGAUAACUUCAAAGGGAAAACUCAAUCCAUUACAAGAGAGUAGAGGGGGAGAAACAUCAUAAGAUCCAACUAUAAUAGCAAAGCUCGCGAUACAUCAAGAUCGUGCCGAAUCAAGAACACGAGAGAGAGAGAGAGAGAGAGAGAGAUCAAACACAUAGCUACUAGUACAUACCGUCAGCCCCGAGGGUGAACUACUCCCUCCUCGUCAUGGAGAGCGCCGGGAUGAUGAAGAUGGCCACCGGUGAUGGAUCCCCUCUCCGGCAGGGUGCCGGAACAGGGUCCCGAUUGGUUUUUGGUGGCUACAGAGGCUUGCGGCGGCGGAACUCCCGAUCUAUUCUGUUCCCCGAAGGUUUUAGGGUAUAUUGGUAUAUAUAGGAGGAAGAAAUACGUCAGGGGAGCCACGAGGGGCCCAUGAGGGUGGAGGGCCCCCUGCCUCGUGCCUUCCUCGUUGAUCCCCUGACGUGCACUCCAAGUCUCCCGGAUUGCUUUCUUUCCAAAAAAUAACUUUCCCGAAGGUUUCAUUCGGUUUGGACUACGUUUGAUAUUCCUUUUCUUCGAAACACUGAAACAAGGGAAAAAACAGAAACUGGCACUGGGCUCUGGGUCAAUAGGUUAGUCCCAAAAAUAAUAUAAAAGUGCAUAGUAAAGCCCAUUAAACAUCCAAGAUGGAUAAAUAAUAGCAUGAAUACUUCAUAAAUUAUAGAUAUGUUGGAGACGUAUCAUUCAGGUGUUUCACAAAAGUCUUCAAAAUACUAUUCGAUCCUUCGAAAAUCCUUAGCAGCUUAUUGCUCUGCAAAUACUUGUCUACUUGCAUUAUGGAUGCUUCCCAUAUGUCUGGCUAUAUUCAUUAGUCUCCGUUGACGCCGUCUUUUUGAUCCUAUUGAUUCAACAUGAGUGCGAGUGCCCACAAUCAUCGGUUGAUCCUUUUAAAUUAUCUUUCCAGCUCAGAUGUCAUUUUGAACAUGAGCUGGUUAUCGACCAAUCAAAUUGCCGUCGAUUGUACCCCCAAGUCUAUUCAACUUAUCCAUUCUUAAUCAGACCGUUGGCUUCUGAUCCCUUGAUUUGGAAAUGAUAAUUCAUGUGCAUUUGAGUUUUGAAUUAGUCAGUUGUUUCUAUAAUCCAAUGUCCUUGCAUUGUUUUCUUCCUCUGUUGUGUGUCGAUGCUCACAUCAGCUCUGUUAUGGAACGUCAGAUCCUUUGUUGAAUUAUCAUCUGACAGUGUCCUUUGUAUACAAAAACCUCAAGAAGUUCUUUCCCUGAUAUAUAAUGUCGUUGGUAAGUCCUAUUCUCUGAUUUGGCCAACCAUGCUCUACUUUCGAGCUUGAGUUAUUUACCCCUGAAGUUUGUGAUAUAUGUUUCCACGAUGCCCCGAUGGGUUGAACCUAGGCCUUCCUUAAUAUGUGUGACCUCGAAAGUUUUCACAGUCAUACUCUUCUGGUAUUUUGCUAGAUAUAAUUUCAACAUUACAACUUCUUCGAAAAUGAGAAGUGAAUGAAAGGUUAUGCAUUAGAGAAGUGGGAGUCGACCUUGAACUUUGUGUUCAUGCCCAUGGACACGAUGUAGAUCCUAUCAUGGAAGCUUCUUGUAAUAAUAACUAUUUCCUUGAUAAAUAUCAUCUAGUAUCUGUGAAUUGAUCCUUUGCAACCAUGGUUCCGACCGUGAUUGUUCUCCUUUGAUUCUAUUUCUCAGACAAGUUAAACUACUUGCCUUCUGCAGAUCAGUACGCCUUCCCAACCUCUAUUUUGUUCUACCUUCGAGUAUUACCCCCUGGUAUCUCGAGGAUAUCAACCCAUUGCACUUCAUCUUAUAAAUUUCUGAUGAAGUAGUACCUUUCCCCAUCAUAGUCACUCCACGGGUUAUGGGUUGUCGUCAACCGAGAACACCGAUUUUUGAAUCGAAUCAACAUUGAGAUUCGGUACCCCUAGUACUUUGUUGUUGAUAAGUUUAAUACUCCAUCACGUCACUCCUAGCCUGAUCGGCUACAUCAUUAUCGUGCUAAUUUUAACUGUGCUACCGGGUCCUUAAUUCCGGAGCACAACUUUCGAUGAUGAGCUAAGCUUACGCCGAUUUCCUCGUCUUAUCGUUCCACCUUGAACGACAAGCUUGAAUUCGAGUUCGUGUCCUACUCAUGGUCCCAAGAACAUUUCGCUUCAUCAAUCCUUUGACUUGAUGUCAUCGCCGACCGAUUACAUCUCCAUGAAACCUCCCGACAGAAUUUGUCAUGAUCAUCAUCAACAUUCUGAGUUCCUCCAGGAUAUCAAUUGAAUUCAUGAUGACAAAUACCAUCCUUGCCCCUCGAUGAUUUGUGUUAUCAUCGGCAACAUUCUUGCUUUCCCUUCAACACAAACUUGUUCAUGUAUUGUGUUGUACCUGGAGAUCCUUGCUAUCUUUUAUAUCAAGAAUGUCAUGGGAAAUUCACCACCCUUAAGAAUUCUUGAUACAAGUGAUACUUAUUAACAUCACCAUUCUUUUCUUGGUCCCCUUGUUGUUUCUAACCAGAAUACCGACAAAUGGUAUGUGAUGUGUAAAUUCUAAACUUCUAGCAACCCUAUUGCUUUGAAGUUAUUGGUCUAUAGUUUCAUUCUACAUCCAUGGCUUAUUGAAUCAUCAUUCGAACAUUGACCGUGCUACCUCGCCCAUAUUUCGGGUGCACCUUUCAACCAAUGUUUAACUGUGUAUGUUUUCCUCGAGCAUACCUCAUCACAUCAUUUGAUCUGAUAAAUGUUAUCUCCUUGUUCACAUAAGUGUGGACAUCCAUCUUUUGAAAAUCUCAAUGAAUCGUCGCUGAUUCCAUCAGCCACCUCCUCAUCCUCUCGUUGGUUUACUGAUGAACUCUUGUUUCGAAACUCGCUUCCAUAGUUCAUUUCCCGAGGAUCUUACAUUGUCAUCUCGUCAAUUUGUUUUGCACCUUUUCUUCUCUGGCAUCCUAAGUCGGAGGUAUCCUGACACCAAUCGGAUCUGAACCUCGGUCAGAUAUGAUGGUUGGAACGUAUUUCCAAGAGUUAUAACAUUGGUCUUUAUAUGACUUGGUAAGGUGAUGUCAUGCCUAGCACACCUGACCGGAGGACCUAUUGUUAUAAUUUCCUAACAUGUAUGAGGAAACUAUGGGGGUCUCCUCAUGAGUAUAGUGGAAACAUCAUAUGGGGAAAAUGGACAACAUCCAAAACAAUGCAUAUCCGAUGCUAGGUGGUCAUGGCAUGGCAUAUGAGAUAAAUGAUGCAAAGGGAGCAUGUCUAUAUUAUCACAAGAAAAACAAUUGCCAAUAACCAUGGGCUUGUCAUCUAUGCCAUAUGUGAAAUUGGGUUUAUUUUAAUGGCAUAUGCAUAGUCACUAAGAUGAGAUUGCAAAUAUGACAUAUGAUUGAUCUCAUGUAUUGCAUAUGACAAGUCAAGAGGAUUGUCUAACAUGAUGUGACCUAAAGAAUUGUCACAAGAAAUCCUAUGUAACAUGGCAUCACAACUACUAGACUCCACAUGACAAUCAUCAAACUCAUCAUAAAUGGGUAAAUCAUCGCAUGGGGAAAUCACACUAGAAUGAAUCAUGGUAAUAGGUUGAUCAACAUCAUGCAAGCAAUCAAUGUCAAGAAUGUCCACUAGUGGGACUAGAGCAUCACCUUCACCUAUGUUACCUUGUUCAUUCCACUCAAGUGGUGUAGGUGGGAUGGCAAAGAACAAAUGGUGGUCAUCUUCAUCUUGAUGGAACCAUGUGGGGGGUGCAUCAUAUUCCACCAUGGUCAUCGUCUUGUCCAAAGGAAGGACGAAGUCAUCAUGUAUCGGCGCGUCAUCAUAUAUGGGACCUAGCACCAAAUGAGAAGACACAAUAGAGGUAGAGGUUAAGUCGUUAGAAAUUGAAGUGGCCUCACUCUCUCUAUGUGGUUGUUCACUCACUCCCUCAAGGUAGGUGCACUCAAAGUCACAUAUGGUGGAGUCACUCAUCUCACUCAAGUGGUGGGGGUUGUGGCUCUCCUCACAUGGGAAUUGGGGCAACUCGUCAUAUAUGGGGCUAGUGGUGAAGUCACUCUCACUCUCAAUAUGGUGGCACAAGUCACUCAAGUCAUCAUACGUCGCCGUGGUCGAGGUGAAAUACUCAACCAUCUCAUCACCGUCGCCAUGGAUGAAGGCCGAAGAUGGCACAUCAUCACUCUCCUCCAUGACCGAAGGGAAAAUCCCAUGCUCGAUCAUCUCGUCACCGUCGCCGUGGAUGAAGGCCGGAGAUGGCACAUCAUCACUCUCGCCUCCUAAGAUGGAAGCAUCAUCCUUGCUCGUCACCAAGUUGCUCGCCUCCAAAGCUUGGUCCUUGAAGGUCUCCGUAGUCGUACUCGUCGCCGCACCAUCUUGAAAAAGAGUCGUGGAGGACUCAGCAACAUCAAUGCCACAAAGUGGGAUGGCAGUGAAGUCGAACUUGGGAGCAUCGUCUUGGAGCUCAUCGGGCUUGGACAUCUUGGUGGUACUAGCCUCAUGCUCGUCGUCUUUGAGCUUGGUUUUCGAGAAGUGUGCUUGGGGUGGAGAAGCCUUGGCCUUCAUGAGUUCUUGUUCUGCCAUGAGAGCACCAAUGUAGUUAUCAUCGAGGGACUUGUAGUUCUCGAGGAAGAUAGUCUUGGAGAUGUCGUUGUUCAAACCCAUCAUGAAGUGGAACUUCAUUGACAUGGGGUCGUCCAUGCCGGCUCGUGAUACGUCUCCAAUGUAUCUAUAAUUUUUUAUUGCUCCAUGCUAUAUUAUAUUCUGUUUUGGACAUUAUUAGGCUUUAUUAUACACUUUUAUAUUAUUUUCGGGACUAACCUAUUAACCGGAGGCCCAGCCCAGAAUUGCUGUUUUUUGCCUAUUUCAGAGUUUCGCAGAAAAAGAAUAUCAAACGGAGUCCAAACGGAAUGAAACCUUCGGGAACGUGAUUUUCGGAACGAACGUGAUCCAGAGGACUUGGACCGUACGUCAAGACAUCAACCAUGAAGCCACGAGGUAGGGGGCGCGCCCUCCACCCUUGUGGGCCCCCUAUUGCUCCACCGACGUACUUCUUCCUCUAAUAUAUACCUACGUACCCCCAAACUACCAGAUACGGAGCCAAAAACCUAAUUCCACCGCUGCAACCUUCUGUACCCGUGAGAUCCCAUCUUGGGGCCUGUUCCGGAGCUCCACCGGAGGGGGCAUUGAUCACGGAGGGCUUCUACAUCAACACCAUAGCCUCUCCGAUGAUGUGUGAGUAGUUUACCUCAGACCUUCGGGUCCAUAGUUAUUAGCUAGAUGGAUUCUUCUCUCUUUUUGGAUCUCAAUACAAUGUUCUCCCCCUCUCUUGUGGAGAUCUAUUUGAUGUAAUCUUCUUUUGCGGUGUGUUUGUUGAGACCGAUGAAUUGUGGGUUUAUGAUCAAGUUUAUCUAUGAACAAUAUUUGAAUCUUCUGAAUUCUUUUAUGUAUGAUUGGUUAUCUUUGCAAGUCUCUUCGAAUUAUCAGUUUGGUUUGGCCUACUAGAUUGAUCUUUCUUGCAUGGGAGAAGUGCUUAGCUUUUGGUUCAAUCUUGCGGUGUCCUUUCCCAGUGACAGUAGGGGCAGCAAGGCACGUAUAGUAUUGUUGCCAUCAAGGAUAACAAGAUGGGGUUUAUAUCACAUUGCAUGAGUUUAUCCCUCUACAUCAUGUCAUCUUGCUUAAAGCGUUACUCUGUUAUUAUGAACUUAAUACUCUAGAUGCAUGCUGGAUAGCGGUCGAUAUGUGGAGUAAUAGUAGUAGAUGCAGGCAGGAGUCGGUCUACUUGUCUCGGACGUGAUGCCUAUAUACAUGGUCAUACCUAGAUAUUCUCAUAACUAUGCUAUUCUGUCAAUUGCUCAACAGUAAUUUGUUCACCCACCGUAAAAUACUUAUGCUCUUGAGAGAAGUCACUAGUGAAACCUAUGGCCCCGGGGUCUAUUUUCAAUCAUAUUAAUCUUCCAACAACAAGCUAUUUCCAUUGCCGUUUUUGUUUUACUUUCUUUAUUUUGCAUCUUUAUCACAAAAAUACCAAAAAUAUUAUCUUAUCAUAUCUAUCAUAUCUCACUCUCGUAAGUGACCGUGUAGGGAUUGACAACCCCUUAUCACGUUGAUUGUGAGGAUUUAUUUGUUUGUGUAGGUGCGAGGGACUCGUGCGUGGCCUCCUUCUGGAUUGAUACCUUGGUUCUCAAAAACUGAGGGAAAUACUUACGCCACUUUAUUGCAUCACCCUUUCCUCUUCAAGGGAAAACCAACACAGUGCUCAAGAGGUAGCAAGAAGGAUUUCUGGCGCCGUUGCCGGGGAUUCUACGCAAAAGUCAACAUACCAAGUACCCAUCGCAAACCCUUAUCUCCCGCAUUACAUUAUUUGCCAUUUGCCUCUCGUUUUCCUCUCCCCCACUUCACCCUUGCCGUUUUAUUUGCUCUCUCUUUUCCUUUCGCCUCUUUUUGUUCGCUUCUUGUUUGCUCGUGUGUUGGAUUGCUUGCUUGCCACGAUGGAUCUACCUAAAUUUGGUGAUCUUCACCUUAAAAGGCUGGAAGAGCUCGCAUGCAAUGUCAGGAGUUUUAUGGUCUUACAAUUUGAGCAUAAUAAUUUCUUUAGAAACGAGAUUAAGGAACAAAAAAGCUUUAUGAGUUAUAUGAAUAAAGAGCUCGAUGAUAUGUCUAAAGAAUUUGAUGGUUUGAGAUCCCAAAUUGCUCAUCUUGAGAAGUUAAUAGCUGAAAGAUCGGAUAAGCAGGCCACCUUAGUUAAUAAGAUGGCCGCUAAGCCGGAAAACUUUGAAAAUAAAGAUGAAGAUCUAAAAGUUAUUGAUGUGUCCCCUAUUAAAUCUUUGUUUUGCAAUAUGAAUCUUGAAAAUGAUGGGACUGAUUAUGAUCCACCUUUACCUAGAAGGCGUUCCAGAAAUUCGGAGUUUUUAGAUCUUAAUGCUAAAAUUGAUAAAAGUGGGAUUGAAGAGAUCAAAACAUUAGAUAUUAAUGAACCCACUAUUUUGGAUUUCAAGGAAUUUAAUUAUGAUAAUUGCUCUUUGAUAGAUUUUAUUUCCUUGUUGCAAUCCGUGCUAAAUUCUCCUAAUGCUUAUAGUCAAAAUAAAGCCUUUACCAAACAUAUCGUUGAUGCUUUGAUGCAAUCUUAUGAAGAAAAACUUGAGUUGGAAGUUUCUAUCCCUAGAAAACUUUAUGAUGAGUGGGAACCUACUAUUAAAAUUCAAAUUAAAGAUCAUGAAUGCUAUCCUUUGUGUGAUUUGGGUGCUAGUGUUUCCACGAUUCCAAAAACUUUAUGCGAUUUAUUAGGUUUCCGUGAUUUUGAUGAUUGCUCUCUAAACUUGCACCUUGCGGAUUCCACUAUUAAGAAAUGGGAAGAAUUAAUUAUGUUCUUAUUGUUGAAAAUAGGAACUAUGUGCCCAUAGAAUUUAUUGUUCUUGACAUAGAUUACAAUCCUUCAUGUCCUAUUAUUCUUGGUAGACCUUUCCUUAGAACUAUUGGUGCAAUUAUUGAUAUGAAGGAAGGGAAUAUUAGAUUCCAAUUUCCAUUAAAGAAAGGCAUGGAACACUUCCCUAGAAAGAAAAUAAAAUUACGUUAUUAAUCUAUUAUGAGAGCCACUUAUGGAUUGCCUACCAAAGAUGGCAAUACCUAGAUCUAUCCUUGCUUUUAUGCCUAGCUAGGGGCGUUAAACGAUACGCGCUUGUUGGGAGGCAACCCAAUUUUAUUUUUAGUUUUUUUUGCUUUUUGCUUCUGUUUAGGAAUAAAUAUUUGUUCUAGCCUCUGUUUAGAUUUGUUUUUAUGUUUUAAUUAGUUUUUGUGCCAAGUUAAACCUAUAGGAUCUUCUUGGAUGAUAGUUAUUUGAACUUGCUGUAAAUUCCAGAAACUUUCUGUUCACGAAAACAAUUGUUAAAAAACACCAGAACGUGAUAAAAUAUUGAUUCCAAUUGCUGAUGAUCAAUAAAAAAAUUGUCUAGGUCUUCCUAUUUUGGCUGAAUUUCUGGAGUUCUAGAAGUUUGCGUUAGUUACAGAUUACUACAGACUGUUCUGUUUUUGACAGAUUCUGUUUUUCAUGUGUUGUUUGUUUAUUUUGAUGAAUCUAUGGCUAGUAAAAUAGUUUAUAAACCAUAGAGAAGUUGGAGUACAGUAGGUUUAACACCAAUAUAAAUAAAUAAUGAGUUAAUUACAGUACCUUGAAGUGGUCUUUUGUUUUCUUUCGCUAACGGAGCUCACAAGAUUUUCUGUUAAGUUUUGUGUUGUGAAGUUUUCAAGUUUUGGGUAAAAGAUUUGAUGGAUUAUGGAACAUGGAGUGGCAAGAGCCUAAGCUUGGGUAUGCCCAUGGCACCCCCAAGAUAAUCUAAGGACACCAUAAAGCCAAAGCUUGGGGAUGCCCCGGAAGGCAUCCCCUCUUUCGUCUACUUCCAUCGGUAACUUUACUUGGAGCUAUAUUUUUAUUCACCACAUGAUAUGUGUUUUGCUUGGAGCGUCUUGUAUGAUUUGAGUCUUUGUUUGUUAGUUUAACACAAUCAUCCUUGAUGUACACACCUUUUGAGAGAGACACACAUGAUUCGAAAAUUAUUAGAAUACUCUAUGUGCUUCACUUAUAUCUUUUGAGUUAUAUAAUUUUUGCUCUAGUACUUCACUUAUAUCUUUUAGAGCACUGUGGUGGAUUUGUUUUAUAGAAACUAUUAUUCUCUCAUGCUUCACUUAGAUUAUUUUGAGAGUCUUAAAAAGCAUGGUAAUUUUCUUAAAUAAUCCUAAUAGGCUAGGUAUUCAAGAUUAGUAAAAACUUUCUUAUGAGUAUGUUGAAUACUAAGAGAAGUUUGAUACUUGAUGAUUGUAUUGAGACAAGGAGGUAGUGAUAUCAAAGUUGUGCUAGUUGAGUAGUUGUGAAUUUGAGAAAUACUUGUGUUGAAGUUUGCAAGUCCCGUUGCAUGCACGUAUGGUAAACGUUAUGUAACAAAUUUGAAACAUGAGGUGUUCUUUGAGUGUCCUCCUUAUGAGUGGCGGUCGGGGACGAGCGAUGGUCUUUUCCUACCAAUCUAUCCCCCUAGGAGCAUGCGCGUAAUGCUUUGUUUUGGAUGACUUGUAGAUUUUUGCAAUAAGUAUGUGAGUUCUUUAUGACUAAUGUUGAGUCCAUGGAUUAUACACACUCUCACCUUUCCAUCAUUGCUAGCCUCUUCGGUACCGUGCAUUGCCCUUUCUCACAUUGAGAGUUGGUGCAAACUUUGCCGGUGCAUCCAAACCCCGUGAUAUGAUACGCUCUUUCACACAUAAACCUCCUUAUAUCUUCCUCAAAACAGCCACCAUACCUACCUAUUAUGGCAUUUCCAUAGCCAUUCCGAGAUAUAUUAAAAUGCAACUUUCCACCUUUCCGUUUAUCAUGACACGUUCAUCAUUGUCAUAUUGCUUUGCAUGAUCAUGUAGUUGACAUCGUAUUUGUGGCAAAGCCACCAUUCAUAAUUCUUUCAUACAUGUCACUCUUGGUUCAUUGCAUAUCCCGGUACACCAUCGGAGGCAUUCAUAUAGAGUCAUACUUUGUUCUAGUAUCGAGUUGUAAUCAUUGAGUUGUAAAUAAAUAGAAGUUUGAUGAUCAUCAUUUUCUAGAGCAUUGUCCCAAGUGAGGAAUAAAAAAAAGAGAAAGGCCAUAAAAAAAGAGGAAGGCCCAAAAAAAUGAGAGAAAAAGAGAGAAGGGACAAUGCUACUAUCCUUUUACCACACUUGUGCUUCAAAGUAGCACCAUAAUCUUCAUGAUAGAGAGUCUCUUGUUUUGUCACUUUCAUAUACUAGUGGGAAUUUUUCAUUAUAGAACUUGGCUUAUAUAUUCCAACAAUGGGCCUCCUCAAGUGCCCUAGGUAUUCGUGAGCAAGCAAGUUGGAUGUACACCCACUUAGUUUCUUUUGUUGAGCUUUCAUAUAUUUAUAGCUCUAGUGCAUCCGUUGCAUGGCAAUCCCUACUCCUUGCAUUAACAUCAAUCGAUGGGCAUCUCCAUAGCUCAUUGAUUAGCCUCGUUGAUGUGAGACUUUCUCCUUUUUUGUCUUCUCCACAUAAUCCCCAUCAUUAUAUUCUAUUCCACCCAUAGUGCUAUAUCCAUGGCUCACGCUCAUGUAUUGCGUGAAGGUUGAAAAAGUUUGAGAUUACUAAAGUAUGAAACAAUUGCUUGGCUUGUCAUCGGGGUUUUGCAUGAUGAGAGCAUUCUUGUGUGACGAAAAUGGAGCAUGGCUAAACUAUAUGAUUUUGUAGGGAUGAACUUUCUUUGGCCAUGUUAUUUUGAGAGGACAUAAUUGCUUAGUUAGUAUGCUUGAAGUAUUAUUAUUUUUAUGUCAAUAUUGAACUUUUAUCUUGAAUCUUUCGGAUCUGAAUAUUCAUACCACAAUUGAGAAGAAUUACAUUGAAAUUAUGCCAAGUAGCAUUCCGCAUCAAAAAUUCUGUUUUUAUCAUUUACCUACUCGAGGACGAGCAGGAAUUAAGCUUGGGGAUGCUUGAUACGUCUCCAACGUAUCUAUAAUUUUUGAGUGCUCCAUGCUAUAUUAUAUUAUGUUUUGGACAUUAUUGGGCUUUAUUAUACACUUUUAUAUUAUUUUUGGGACUAACCUAUUAACCGGAGGCCCAGCCCAGAAUUGCUGUUUUUCGCCUAUUUCAGAGUUCCGCAGAAAAAGAAUAACAAACGGAGUCCAAACGGAAUGAAACCUUCGGGAAUGUGAUUUUCGGAACGAACGUGAUCCAGAGGACUUGGACCCUACGUCAAGACAUCAACCAGGAAGCCACGAGGUAUGGGGGCGCGCCUACCCUCCCUGGGCGCGCCCUCCACCCUCGUGGGCCCCCUGUUGCUCCACCGACGUACUUCUUCCUCCUAUAUAUACCUACGUACCCCCAAACUACCAGAUACAGAGCCAAAAACCUAAUUCCACCGCCGCAACCUUCUGUACCCGUCAGAUCCCAUCUUGGGGCCUGUUCCAGAGCUCCGCCGGAGGGGGCAUCCAUCACGGAUGGCUUCUACAUCAACACCAUAGCCUCACCGAUGAUGUGUGCGUAGUUUACCUCAGACCUUCGGGUCAGUAGUUAUUAGCUAGAUGGCUUCUUCUCUCUUUUUGGAUCUCAAUACAAUGUUCUCCCCCUCUCUCGUGGAGAUCUAUUCGAUGUAAUCUUCUUUUGCGGUGUGUUUGUUGAGACCGAUGAAUUGUGGGUUUAUGAUCAAGUUUAUCUAUGAACAAUAUUUUAAUCUUCUGAAUUCUUUUAUGUAUGAUUGGUUAUCUUUGCAAGUCUCUUCGAAUUAUCAGUUUGGUUUGGCCUACUAGAUUGAUCUUUCUUGCAAUGGGAGAAGUGCUUAGCUUUGGGUUCAAUCUUGCGGUGUCCUUUCCCAGUGACAGUAGGGGCAGCAAGGCACGUAUAGUAAUGUUGCCAUCGAGGAUAACAAGAUGGGGUUUAUAUCGUAUUGCAUGAGUUUAUCCCUCUACAUCAUGUCAUCUUGCUUAAAGCGUUACUCUGUUCUUAUGAACUUAAUACUCUAGAUGCAUGCUGGAUAGCGGUCGAUGUGUGGAGUAAUAGUAGUAGAUGCAGGCAGGAGUCGGUCUACUUGUCUCGGACGUGAUGCCUAUAUACAUGAUCAUACCUAGAUAUUCUCAUAACUAUGCUCAAUUCUGUCAAUUGAUCAACAGUAAUUUGUUCACCCACCAUAAAAUACUUAUGCUCUUGAGAGAAGCCACUAGUGAAACCUAUGGCCCCCGGGUCUAUUUUCCAUCAUAUUAAUCUUCCAACAACAAGCUAUUUCCAUUGCCGUUUUUAUUUUACUUUCUUUAUUUUGCAUCUUUAUCACAAAAAUUCCAAAAAUAUUAUCUAUCAUAUCUAUCAGAUCUCACUCUCGUAAGUGACCAUGUAGGGAUUGACAACCCCUUAUCGCGUUGGUUGCGAGGAUUUAUUUGUUUGUGUAGGUGUGAGGGACUCGUGCGUGGCCUCCUACUGGAUUGAUACCUUGGUUCUCAAAAACUGAGGGAAAUACUUACGCUACUUUACUGCAUCACCCUUUCCUCUUCAAGGGAAAACCAACGCAGUGCUCAAGAGGUAGCAGCUCAUCGCAAGGCUUUCUUCAUCUCCUUGAAGUACUCGUCGAUGGAGUUGGAUCCUUGGGUGGUGUUCUCCAAUUGGCGUAGAAGUUGUUCCGUGUAGGUUGGAGGCACAAACUCUCGCCGCCAUGCUCUCUUCGUCUUGGGCCAACUCAUGUCGUAGCACUUCGAAGGUGUGUGAAGCUACCAUGUGGACGCGUAGUCGUGGAAGUUUCUUGUGGGGCACUUCACUUGAUCUUCGGGAGGAACUUGAUGUAGCUUGAGGUAGUCGUCCAUUAGGCGCUCCCACUCGAGAUACUCCUCGGGUUCUUGAGUCCCAUAGAAAGGAAUCUUGUGUUCGUUGUCGAGGUCGUAGUAGCUCGUGGAAGUCGCGGACUUGAGCUUGGCGAGCUUCUCUUGAGCGUAGUCUUGAGGUGCUUGAGGGUGAAGAUGCCGUAUGUCCAUAGGCGAAGAUGCCUUGAAGUCGCUUGGCGAAGAUGCCAAGGGAGAUGGUGAAGUCGUUGAGCGGUUCUUGGUGUUGAGCUCUUGACCUUCACGUUCUUUUUGGUGAUGGUGUCGAUGCCGAUGUGACCUUGCCGGAGAUGGUAGCUCGGAAGCAUGUGUACUUGGGCGUUGAUACGUCCAUUUUGCAUCAUGCUUUUAUAUUGAUAUUUAUUGCAUUAUGGGCUGUGAGUACACAUUAUGUCACAAUACUUAUGCGUGUUCUAUCUUAUUCUAUAAGGUUUACAUGAAGAGGGAGAAUGCCGGUAGCUGGAAUUCUGGGCUGGAAAAUAUUAGAGACCUAUUCUGCACAACUCCAAAAGUCCUGAAACUCCACGGAAGUUAUUUUUGGAAAUAAUAAAAAAUACUGAGUUAAGAAAAUACCAGAGGGGACCCACACCCUAGGCACGAGGGUGGGGGGCGAGCCCUACCCCCUGGGCGCGCCCCCUGCCUCGUGGGGCCCCUGGUGGCCCUCCGGUGCCCAUCUUCUGCUAUAUGAAGUCUUUUGUCCGAAGAAAAAUCAUAAGCAUGCUUUCGGGACGAGACUCCGCCGCCACGAGGCGGAACCAAUCUAGGGCUCUGGCGGAGCUGUUUUGCCGGGGACACUUCCCUCCGGGAGGGGGAAAUCAUCGCCAUCAUCAUCACCAGCGCUCCUCUCAUCGGGAGGGGGCCAAUCUCCAUCAACAUCUUCACCAGCACCAUCUCCUCUCAAACCUAAUUCAUCUCCUGUAUCCAAUUCUUGUCUCUAAGUCUGAGAUUGGUACCUGUAGGUUGCUAGUAGUGUUGAUUACUCCUUGUAGUUGAUGCUAGUUGGUUUAUUUGGUGGAAGAUCAUAUGUUCAGAUCCUAUACGCAUAUUAAUACUCCUUUGAUUGUGAACACAAAUAUGCUUUGUGGGACAUGGGACAAGUCUUGCUAUUAGUAGUCAUGUCAAUUUGGUAUUCGUUCGAUAUUUUGAUGAGAUGUAUGUUGUCUCUCCUCUAGUGGUGUCAUGUGAACAUCGACUACAUGACACUUCACCAUUAUUUGGGCCUAGAGGAAGGCAUUGGGAAGUAAUAAGUAGAUGAUGGGUUGCUAGAGUGACAGAAGCUUAAACCCUAGUUUAUGCGUUGCUUCAUAAGGGGCUAAUUUGUAUCCAUAUGUUUCAUGCUAUGGUUAGGUUUACCUUAAUACUUCUUUUGUAGUUGUGGAUGCUUGGAAUAGGAGUUAAUCAUAAGUGGGAUGCUUGUCCAAGUAAGGGCAGCACCCAAGCACCGGUCCACCCACAUAUCAAAUUAUCAAAGUACCGAACGCGAAUCAUAUGAACGUGAUGAAAACUAGCUUGACAAUAAUUCCCAUGUGUCCUCGGGAGCGCUUUUCUCUAUAUAAGAGUUUGUCCAGGCUUGUCCUUUGCUACAAAAAGGAUUGGGCCACCUUGCUGCACUUUAUUUACUUUUGUUACUUGUUGCUCGUUACAAAUUAUCUUAUCACAAAACUAUCUGUUACCUACAAUUUCAGUGCUUGUAGAGAAUACCUUGCUGAAAACCACUUAUCAUUUCCUUCUGCUCCUCGUUGGGUUCGACACUCUUACUUAUCGAAAGGACUACGAUAAAUCCCCUAUACUUGUGGGUCAUUAGGCGUCUUUUCGAAGAUGAGAAAGAUCGCUUGUAGGACUUGAUGAGGGCUUUGAUCUCAUCCAUUUGAGCAUCUUGGCGUCGGUAGAGUUAUUCGUGGCAUCGAACUCGUCAUUGUUGUUGUAGACCGAAGGUGAAAUGCCUUGCCUAUCCAUCACAAUACUCGAGUAGAGGUCAGUAGGAAAUGAGAUAAACAAUACCAAGUUACCGUUUCCCAAAGUUGAGGAUGUAUCCCGUUUCACUCAAUGUGAGAUGAAGAAUAGUGGAAUUGGUACCGAACUUGUUCACUCACACCUACAAACUAAAGCUUAUGGAGUAGCUCGGUGAGGAUAGUGGCACAAAAUUUAAUGCAAAAUGUUAGCAAGAGUCAAUAAUGUUGAAAGACAUUCACAAAUUCGCAAGUGAAACAAGUAGACCAAUAGCAAAGAAUGGCACACGGAAACGCACACACGGAUAGAUAAAUGGGGUCGUGCAACCAAGGAAUGAGCACAAAAUGUGGAGUCCACGGAAAACGCUCGUGUUGCACAACUCAAGAGAGACGCUAGCACGAUUGCUCAAUAGGAGGAUACGACACUUGUGCACAACCUAUGAUAUGCAAAAUGUAUCAACUUCUAUCCCAAGUAUGCUAUGUAUGUAUGGUUCCCGGUGUUUCUCUCAAGAUGAUCCAAGAUGAUCGGAUAUGACAAUCUUAUGCAAUGUGGUAUGAUGCUAUGGCACUUGCUUACAAGCUCUUUGCUCUUUUUUUUUUAUUGGCCACUUUUGCGAAAUGCACAAACGAAGAUAGCAAUUGUGUAUAUGCGGGAACAAUCUUGUGGCACAAGGGAUGAUAUGAUACCAAUAUGAUAUGGUAUGUAUGCAAUGGAAGGUGUAGAUCACUAAUGUGCACAAGUAACGUUGCCGAAAAUACUCAAAUGGCUAGUCUCGAUAGGCAAGUGACGCAAAAUAGGCUAGGGGUUAACAAUGCAAUGGCAAGGGGAUAUACAAUGGAGGGAUACCACGAUACCAAGAUGAUAUGGAGGUUACCGUCCGAGGCGAUGAUGAGUGGCGGUGUUCUUGAUGUAGAUACCAAGAUGAUGAAGACUCGUCCCUAAGUAGCCGAAACACCUUAGGAAAAGAAAAAACCGCGAACUCAAAAUCUCAAAUGUCAAAUGUCAAAUGUCAAAUGGUGGUAGCGGGAAAGCGGUGGUGGUUUUGCGGAAGCUCAAUGGGAUUGCGGAAAUGCAAUGAUGGGGUUUUGAGAUGCAAUGCGGAAGUCGAGGGUAAGGUGGUGGACUAUACACGGUGUUGGAGUUGGAAGCACGGUCCCUAAGUAGCCGAAAUACCUUAGGAGACACAACUCGCAACACAAAUAAAAUUGGGUUAAGUUGGGGGAAGUGUAUGGUGGGUAAGCCUAUGCGGAAGUUAUGGUGGUGGUUGAUGAAGAAGCAACCAUCCCUAAGUAGCUGAAACACCUUAGGAGACUCAAAUCACAACUCAAACAACCACAAAUGCUAAGGGGAACAAAAUGUGUUAGGUUGCGGAAGUCGGUGGUGUUUAUGCGGAUGAUAUGGUGGAAGCCCUAGGCAAAGAUGCCAAAGUGCCAAAAAAAUUAUGGAGUCAAAUGGUGAUGUAACCUAUCUAGAUGGAUAGAGGAUGUCAAUAGCUACUCAACGAGCUAAAGAAUGUGAAAGUCGGACUCCGGAUGUGAAAGUUACGGUCAAAACGGUGAAACAGGGGAGGCUGAUGCUCCAGGGGUCGGACAUCCGGGGUCGGGGUCGGGGCCGGAUAUCCGGGACCUGAUGUCCAAAACCGCGCGCGAAAAUGUGCUCCAGGAGCCGGAUGUCCGGCUUGGGGCCCGGAUGUCCGGCCCGACGAUUCCAGAUCGGGAUUUGGACUUAGAAACUCGAUUUGGGGGCGGAAAUUGAUGAUUUCAAGGGCAAAAUUGGAGAGAUUUCGUGGAUGGAAAGUGGAGAAACUUGGGGAAAUGCUAGAUCCACUCGAAACCAAGCAAAUCCAUGGAUCAAAAUAAACAAAACAUCAUCAAACCAACAAAUCACAAAAAAAUUGGGCUAAUUUUUGGGACAAUUUUCGAAUUUGGGACAAAAUCAACAAAACUAGGCUAGAAAACACAACGGGGAGGCUCCGAAAUCGUGAUUGAUAUGUCCAAUUUGCAUCAUGCUUUUAUAUCGAUAUUUAUUGCAUUAUGGGCUGUUAUUACACAUUAUGUCACAAUACUUAUGCAUAUUCGAUCUCUCUUAUUUUACAAGGUUUACAUAAGGAGGGAGAAUGCCGGCAGCUGGAAUUCUGGGCUGGAAAAGGAGCAAAUAUUAUAGACCUAUUCUGCACAACUCCAAAAGUCCUGAAACUCCAUGAAAGUUAUUUUUGGAAACAAUAAAAAAUACUGAGUGGAAGAAAUACCUGAGGGGGCCCACACCCUCGCCACGAGGGUGGGGGGCGCGCCCUACCCCCUGGGUGCGCCCCCUGCCUCGUGGGCCCCCUGUUGGCCCUCCGGUGCCCAUCUUCUGCUAUAUGAAGUCUUUCGUCCGAAGAAAAAUCAUAAGAAAGCUUUCGGGACGAGACUCCACCGCCACGAGGCGGAACCUUGGCGGAACCAAUCUAGGGCUCCGGCAGAGCUGUUCUGCCGGGGACACUUACCUCCGGGAGGGGGAAAUCAUCGCCAUUGUCAUCACCAACGCUCCUCUCAUCGAGAGAGGGCAAUCUCCAUCAACAUCUUCACCAGCACCAUCUCCUCUCAAACCCUAGUCCAUCUCUUGUAUCCAAUUCUUGUCUCUAAGUCUGGGAUUGGUACCUGUAGGUUGCUAGUAGUGUUGAUUACUCCUUGUAGUUGAUGCUAGUUGGUUUAUUUGGUGGAAGAUCAUAUGUUCAGAUCCUAUAUUCAUAUUAAUACCCCUCCGAUUAUGAACAUGAAUAUGCUUUGUGAGUAGUUACGUUUGUUCCUGAGGACAUGGGAGAGGUCUUGCUAUUAGUAGUCAUGUGAAUUUGGUAUUCGUUCAAUAUUUUGAUGAGAUGUAUGUUGUCUCCCCUCUAGUGGUGUUAUGUGAACGUCGACUACAUAACACUUCACCAUUAUUUGGGCCUAGAGGAAGGCAUUGGGAAGUAAUAAGUAGAUGAUGGGUUGCUAGAGUGACAGAAGCUUAAGCCCUAGUUUAUGCGUUGCUUCGUAAGGGGCUGAUUUGGAUCCAUAUGUUUCAUCCUAUGGUUAGGUUCACCUUAAUACUUUUGUUGUAGUUGUGGAUGCUUGCAAUAGAGGUUAAUCAUAAGUGGUAUGUUUGUUCAAGUAAGGGCAGCACCCAAGCACCGGUCCACCCACGUACCAAAUUAUCAAAGUACCGAACGUGAAUCAUAUGGGCGUGAUGAAAGCUAGCUUGACGAUAAUUCCCAUGUGUCCUCGGGAGCGCUUUUCUCUAUAUAAGAGUUUGUCCAGGCUUGUCCUUUGCUACAAAAAGGAUUGGGCCACCUUGCUGCACUUUAUUUACUUUUGUUACUUGUUGCUCAUUGCGAAUUAUCUUAUCACAAAACUAUCUGUUACCUAUAAUUCCAGUGCUUGCAGAGAAUACCUUGUUGAAAACCGCUUAUCAUUUCCUUCUGCUCCUCGUUGGGUUCGACACUCUUACUUAUCGAAAGGACUACGAUAGAUCCCCUAUACUUGUGGGUCAUCAAGACUCUUUUCUGGCGCCGUUGCUGGGGAGUGAAGCGCCUUUGGUAUGUUGAAUUUGGUAAGGAAAAAUUUAUAUAGUGUGCUGAAAUUUACUGUCACUUGUUACUAUGGAAAGUAAUCCUCUGAGGGGCUUGUUCGGGGUAUGUUCACCACGACCAGUAGAGCAAAGAGUUGCUCCUCAACCUACUGAACCUACUGAAGAUGAAAAUGUCUACUUUGAGAUUCCUUCGGGUAUGAUAGAAAAGCUGCUAGCUAAUCCUUUUGCAAGAGACGGAACAAUGCAUCCUGAUGAGCACCUAAUCUAUGUGGAUGAAGUUUGUGGAUUAUUUAAGCUUGCAGGUGUGCCCGAUGAUGUUAUUAAGAAGAAGGUCUUUCCUUUAUCUUUUAAGGGAGAUGCAUUGACAUGGUACAGGCUAUGUGAUGAUAUGGGAUCAUGGAACUACAAACGAUUGAAAUUGGAAUUUCAUCAAAAGUUUUAUCCUAUGCAUCUUGUUCAUCGUGAUCGCAAUUAUAUAUAUAAUUUCUGGCCUCACGAAGGGGAAAGUAUCGCUCAAGCUUGGGGGAGGCUUAAAUCAAUGUUAUAUUCAUGCCCCAAUCAUGAGCUCCCAAGAGAGAUAAUUACUCAUAAAAUUUAUGCUCGGCUUUCUGAUAACAAUCGCACCAUGCUCGAUACUUCUUGUGCUGGCUCUUUUAUGAUGAAGACUAUUGAAUUCAAAUGGGAUUUAUUGGAAAGAAUUAAACGCAACUCUGAAGAUUGGGAUCUCGACGAAGGUAAGGAGUCAGGUAUGACACCUAAGUUUGAUUGUGUUAAAUCUUUUAUGGAUACCGAUGUUUUUCAUAAAUUUAGCACUAAAUAUGGACUUGACUCUGAGAUAGUAGCUUCUUUCUGUGAAUCUUUUGCUGCUUACGUUGAUCUCCCUAAGGAGAAGUGGUUUAAAUAUCAUCCUCCCAUAGAAGUAAAAGUAGCUGCACCUAUUAAAGUUGAAGAAAAGACUAUCACGUAUAAUGAUCCUAUUGUUCCUACCGCUUAUGUUGAGAAACCACCUUUCCCUGUUAGAAUAAAGGAUCAUGCUAAAGCUUCAACUGUGGUUCGUAAAAGCAAUAUUAGAACCUAUACACCUCCUGAGCAAUUUAAAGUUGAACCUAAUAUUGCUAUUGUUAAAGAUCUCUUGUCUGAUAAUACUGAUGGGCAUGUUAUUCAUUUCUAUGAUGAAACUGCUAGAAUUGCCAAACGUUGUGCUAAAGAUAAACAUAGACUGGUGGUAGGCAUGCCUGUUAUUUCUGUUAAAAUAGGAGAUCAUUGUUAUCAUGGCUUAUGUGAUAUGGGUGCUAGUGCUAGUGCUAUACCUCAUGACUUAUACAAAGAAAUUAUGCAUGAUAUUGCACCUGCUGAGAUAGAAGAUAUUGAUGUUACCAUCAAGCUUGCCAAUAGAGAUACCCUAUCACCCAUUGGAAUUGUUAGAGAUGUUGAAGUCUUGUGUGGGAAAACUAAAUAUCCUGCUGAUUUUCUUGUUCUUGGUUCCCCACAAGAUAGCUUUUGUCCCGUUAUAUUUGGUAGAUCCUUCUUGAACACUGUUAAUGCUAGGAUAGAUUGCGAAAAGGAUGUUGUUACUAUUGGUCUAGGUGAUAUGUCUCAUGAGUUUAAUUUUUCUAAAUUUCGUAGACAACACCGUGAAGAGGAAUUGCCUAGUAAGGAUGAAAUUAUUGGUCUUGCUUCUAUUGUCGUACCUCCUAGUGAUCCUUUAGAACAAUAUUUGCUAGACCAUGAAAAUGAUAUGUUUAUGAAUGAAAGAAGGGAAAUAGAUGAAGUAUUCUUUAAACAGGAACCCAUCAUGAAACACAAUUUGCCUGUUGAAAUCCUAGGGGAUCCUCCUCCACCCAAGGGUGAUCCCGUGUUUGAGCUUAAACCGUACCUUAUACUCUUAAAUAUGCUUAUCUUGAUGAGAAAAAGAUAUAUCCUGUUAUUAUUAGUGCUAACCUUUUAGAGCAUGAAGAAGAGAGAUUAUUGAAAACUCUGAAGAAGCACCGUGCUGCUAUUGGAUAUACUCUUGAUGAUCUUAAGGGCAUUAGUCCCACUCUAUGUCAACACAAAAUAAAUUUGGAGAAAGAUGCCAAACCAGUUCGUGAUCAUCAACGACGGCUGAAUCCUAAGAUGAAAGAAGUGGUAAGAAAGGAAAUACUAAAGCUCCUUGAGGCAGGUAUAAUUUAUCCCGUUGCUGAUAGUCAGUGGGUAAGUCCUGUCCAUUGUGUCCCUAAGAAGGGAGGUAUUUACUGUCGUUCCUAAUGAUAAAGAUGAAUUGAUUUCGCAAAGAAUCAUUACAGGUUAUAGGAUGGUAAUUGAUUUCCGCAAACUAAAUAAAGCUACCAAAAAGGAUCAUUACCCCUUACCUUUUAUCGAUCAAAUGCUAGAAAGAUUAUCCAAACAUACACAUUUUUGCUUUCUAGAUGGUUAUUCUGGUUUCUCUCAAAUACCUGUGUUAGCCGAUGAUCAAUCAAAGACCACUUUUACUUGCCCUUUUGGUACUUUUGCAUAUAGACGUAUGCCUUUUGGUUUAUGUAAUGCACCUGCUACCUUCCAAAGAUGCAUGAUGGCUAUAUUCUCUGACUUUUGUGAAAAGAUUUGUGAGGUUUUCAUGGACGAUUUCUCCGUUUAUGGAUCCUCUUCUGAUGAUUCCCUAAGCAACCUUGAUCGAGUUUUGCAGAGAUGUGAAGAAACUAACCUUGUCUUGAAUUGGGAGAAGUGCCACUUUAUGGUUAAUGAAGGUAUUGUCUUGGGGCAUAAAGUUUCUGAAAGAGGUAUUGAGGUUGAUAAAGCCAAGGUUGAUACUAUUGAAAAGAUGCCAUGUCCCAAGUACAUCAAAGGUAUAAGAAGUUUCCUUGGUCACGCCGGUUUUUAUAGGAGGUUCAUUAAAGACUUCUCAAAAAUCUCUCGGCCUCUGACUAAUUUAUUGCAAAAAGAUAUACCAUUUGUCUUUGAUGAUGAUUGUGUAGAAGCAUUUGAAAUACUUAAGAAAGCAUUGAUCUCUGCACCCAUUUUUCAACCACCUGAUUGGAAUUUACCCUUUGAAAUCAUGUGUGAUGCUAGUGAUUAUGCUGUAGGUGUUGUUCUAGGGCAAAGAGUUGAUAAGAAAUUAAAUGUUAUUCAAUAUGCUAGUAAAACUCUAGACAAUGCUCAGAGAGUUUAUGCUACUACUAAAAAAGAAUUCUUAGCAGUUGUAUUUUCUUGUGAUAAGUUCAGACCUUAUAUUGUUGAUUCUAAAGUAACUAUUCACACUGAUCAUGCUGCUAUUAAAUAUCUUAUGGAAAAGAAAGAUGCUAAACCUAGACUUAUUAGAUGGGUUCUCCUGCUACAAGAAUUUGAUUUACAUAUUGUUGAUAGAAAGGGAGCUGAGAACCCCGUUGCAGACAACUUGUCUAGGUUAGAAAAUGUUCUUGAUGACCCACUACCUAUUGAUGAUAGCUUUCCUGAUGAACAAUUAAAUGUCAUAAAUGCCUCUCGUACUGCUCCAUGGUAUGUUGAUUAUGCUAAUUACAUCGUUGCUAAAUUCAUACCACCUAGUUUCACAUACUAGCAAAAGAAAAAGUUUUUCUAUGAUUUAAGACAUUACUUCUGGGAUGACCCACAUCUUUAUAAAGAAGGAGUAGAUGGUGUUAUUAGACGUUGUGUACCUGAGCAUGAACAGGAACAGAUCCUACGCAAGUGUCACUCCGAGGCUUAUGGAGGACACCACGCUGGAGACAGAACUGCACAUAAGGUAUUGCAAUCCGGUUUUAUUGUCCUACUCUCUUCAAGGAUGCCCGUAAGUUUGUUUUAUCUUGUGAUGAAUGCCAAAGAAUUGGUAAUAUUAGUAGACAUCAAGAAAUGCCUAUGAAUUAUUCACUUGUUAUUGAACCAUUUGAUGUUUGGGGCUUUGAUUACAUGGGACCUUUUGCUGCCUCUAAUGGAUACACACAUAUUUUAGUUGCUGUUGAUUAUGUUACUUAGUGGGUAGAAGCUAUUCUAACUAGUAGUGCUGAUCAUAACACUUCUAUUAAAAUGCUGAAAGAAGUUAUUUUUCCGAGGUUUGGAGUCCCUAGAUAUUUAAUGACUGAUGGUGGUUCACAUUUUAUUCAUGGUGCUUUCCGAAAAAUGCUUGCUAAAUAUGAUGUUAAUCAUAUAAUUGCAUCCCCUUAUCACCCACAGUCUAGUGGUCAAGUAGAAUUGAGCAAUAGAGAACUCAAAUUAAUUUUGCAAAAGACUGUUAAUAGAUCUAGAAAGAAUUGGUCCAAGAAACUGGAUGAUGCAUUAUGGGCUUAUAGAACUGCAUACAAAAAUCCUAUGGGUAUGUCUCCGUAUAAAAUGGUUUAUGGAAAUGCAUGUCACUUACCUCUCGAACUAGAACAUAAGGCUUAUUGGGCUAUUAAAGAGCUCAAUUUGAUUUCAAACUUGCCGGUGAGAAGAGGUUAUUUGACAUUAGCUCACUUGAUGAAUGGAGAACCCAAGCCUAUGAGAAUGCCAAAUUGUUUGAAGAAAAAGUUAAAAGAUGGCAUGACAAAAGGAUACAAAAGCGUGAGUUUAAUGUAGGUGACUAUGUAUUGCUAUACAACUCUUGUUUAAGAUUUUUUGCAGGAAAACUUCUUUCUAAAUGGGAAGGCCCUUACGUUAUCGAGGAGGUCUAUCGUUCCGGUGCCAUAAAAAUCAACAACUUCAAAGGCACAAAUCCGAAGGUGGUAAACGGUCAAAGAAUUAAACAUUAUAUCUCAGGUAAUCCUAUAAAUGUUGAAACUAAUGUUAUUGAAACCAUAACCCCGGAGGAAUACAUAAGGGACACUUUCCGGAACGUUUCAGACUCCGAAAAGGAAUAGGUAUGUGGUACGAUAAGUAAACCGACUCCAAAACAGUUCUAAUGGCAAUUUUUCUCCGUUUUGGAAUAUUUAGAAAAAUAGAAAAAUAAGAAGCAGUCCGGGAAGGACACGAGGCCUCCACAAGGGUGGAGGGUGCGCCCUACCCUACUGGGCGCGCCCCCCUACCUCGUGGGCACCUCGUGUACUCUCCGGACUCCGUUUUCUUGCACGAUACGUAUUUUGGUCGGUAAAAAUUCGUUAUAUAAUCUCCCGAAGGUUUUGACUCCUGUAUCACGCAAAUAUGCUCUGUUUUCGUUUCGAGCUGUUUCUCUGACAGAUCUAGAUCACCAUGACGUCUCCAAGCGCCCGCAAGGACAAGUUCUUUGAGAAGGUCAUCAACCCCUACCUCGCGGAGGUGCUGCAACACCCUCAAACCAUUGAGAUGCCUGAUGGGUUGCUGCACAUCCGCGAUGUUGAGGGACCAUGGAGGACCGGAAGUGUGGAGACAAGGCUUGAAGCAAUGGAGCAACAAGUUUUCAAGUGCCAGGAGAUGGUGGAGCAUGGACUUGACUCCAAUCACAUAAUGAUCACGGAGUUCACCAACGACCACAAGCUGGAUGCCAAGGACAUUGGGGAGGCCAUCUUCAAGCUCCACGAGAAAAUCGAGCACCUCCAAGCCCAAAUCUAUGACCUGCAAAACCAAAACUGUGAAUAUGAAUAUAGAUUCAAGAGAAUGAGUUUGGCUGCAGAUUUGAGGAUCCCGGAGACUCGAUCAUCCUUCUAUGAUGGUGAGCCCAUGCCUUGGAAGACGGACGACAAGCCUGCUUCAUCAACAACCCCAUCACCACCACUUCCGAGGAAGGAGACAUAACCACAUGGGUAUGGGCACUCCCCUUGGCAACUGCCAAGCUUGGGGGAGAUGCCCCGGUAUCGUAUCACCAUCACACUCCUAUCUUUACCAUUUUUCUUAGUUCGAUCCUUUUUAGUAGUAUCUUGAUCUAGUAGAAUAAAGUUUUGGUAUGAUCUAGUUUCGAGUUUUGCUUUAUGAUCCUUCUAUGUAAUCGAGUCCAUGAGCUAUAUAUAAUAAAGAUUAGUGUUGAGUCAAGGGCUUGAUUAUUUUGCUAUGAUCUUGAGGGAAUAAAAGAAAAGAGAAAAAAAUAAAAAUAAACAAAGAGAUCAUAUUGAUCUUAAGGGUAUGAUGAUUAAAAAUUGUUGAGAGUUGACAAACAUAGCUUUGGUCGUCGUUGAAAUUAAUAGGAAGUAAUAAAGAAAGAGAGGUUUCACAUAUAAAUAUACUAUCUUGGACAUCUUUUAUGAUUGUGAGCACUCAUUAAAAAUGACAUGCUAAAGAGUUGAUGUUGGACAAGGAAGACAACGUAAUGGGCUAUGUUUUCUUAUAUCUGAGAUAAAGUAUAUUGUCAUGGAUCAUCCAACAUGUUGAGCUUGCCUUUCCCCCUCAUGCUAGCCAAAUUCUUUGCACCAAGUAGAGAUACUACUUGUGCUUCCAAAUACCCUUAAACCCAGUUUUGCCAUAAGAGUCCACCAUACCUACCUAUGGAUUGAGUAAGAUCCUUCAAGUAAGUUGUCAUCGGUGCAAGCAAUAAAAAUUGCUCUCUAAAUAUGUAUGAUUGACUGGUGUGGAGGAAAUAAGCUUUAUACGAUCUUGUGAUGUGGAAGAAAUAAAAGUGACGGACUGCAUAAUAAAGGUUCAUAUCACAAGUGGCAAUAUAAAGUGACGUUCUUUCGCAUUAAGAUUUUGUGCAUCCAACCUUGAAAGCGUAUAGCAUGAGUUAUUAUUGUUGACAUUACCCUUGAGGUAAAAGGUUGGGAGGCGAAACUAUAAGCCCCUAUCUUUCUCUGUGUCCGAUUAAAACUCUGUAACCACAAGUAUUGCGUGAGUGUUAGCAAUUGUGAAAGACUAAAUUAAAUGAUAGUUGAGUAUGUGGACUUGCUGAAAAGCUCUGACAUAGACUCUUUCUGAUGUUAUGAUAGAUUGCAAUUGCUUCAAUGACUGAGAUUAUAGUUUGUUAGUUCUCAAUAAAGUUUUUGAUUCAUACUUUGUGUUGUGAAUAGAUUAUUACUUGAGCAUAAGAGAUCAUAUGACACUAUCCAUAUAUGUUGCUGUUAUGAAAAUAAUCAUGAUGCCCUCAUGUCCAUAUUUUAUUUUAUCGACACCUCUACCUCUAAACAUGUGGACAUAUUUAUCGUUAUCGGCUUCCGCUUGAGGACAAGUGAGGUCUAAGCUUGGGGGAGUUGAUACGUCCAUUUUGCAUCAUGCUUUUAGAUCGAUAUUUAUUGCAUUAUGGGCUGUUAUUACACAUUAUGUCACAAUAUUUAUGCCUAUUCUCUCUUAUUUUACAAGGCUUACAUAAGGAGGGAGAAUGCCGGCAGCUGGAAUUCUGGGCUGGAAAAGGAGAAAAUAUUAGAGACCUAUUCUGCACAACUCCAAAAGUCCUGAAACUCCACGAAAGUUAUUUUUGGAAAUAAUAAAAAAUACUGAGCGGAAGCAAUACCUGAGGGGGCCCACACCCUGGCCAUGAGGGUGCGGGGCGCGCCCUACCCCCCUGGGCACGCUCCCUGCCUCGUGGGCCCCCUGUUGGCCCUCCGGUGCCCAUCUUCUGCUAUAUGAAGUCUUUCGUCCGAAGAAAAAUCAUAAGAAAGCUUUCGGGACGAGACUCCGCCGCCACGAGGCGGAACCAAUCUAGGGCUCCGGCAGAGCUGUUCUGCCGGGGACACUUCACUCCGGGACGGGGAAAUCAUCGCCGUCGUCAUCACCAAUGCUCCUCUCAUCGGAAGAGGGCAAUCUCCAUGAACAUCUUCACCAACACCAUCUCCUCUCAAACCCUAGUUCAUCUCUUGUAUCCAAUUCUUGUCUCUAAGUCUGGGAUUGGUACCUGUAGGUUGCUAGUAGUGUUGAUUACUCCUUGUAGUUGAUGCUAGUUGGUUUAUUUGGUGGAAGAUCAUAUGUUCAGAUCCUAUAUUCAUAUUAAUACCCCUCUGAUUAUGAACAUGAAUAUGCUUUGUCUCUCCUAUAGUGGUGUUAUGUGAACGUCGACUACAUAACACUUCACCAUUAUUUGGGCCUAGAGGAAGGCAUUGGGAAGUAAUAAGUAGAUGAUGGGUUGCUAGAGUGACAGAAGCUUAAACCAUAGUUUAUGCGUUUCUUCGUAAGGGGCUGAUUUGGAUCCAUAUGUUUCAUGCUAUGGUUAGGUUUACCUUAAUACUUUUGUUAUAGUUGCGGAUGCUUGCAAUAGAGGUUAAUCAUAAGUGGGAUGCUUGUUCAAGUAAGGGCAGCACCCAAGCACCGGUCCACCCACGUAUCAAAUUAUCAAAGUACUGGACGCGAAUCAUAUGUACGUGAUGAAACUAGCUUGACAAUAAUUCCCAUGUGUCCUCGGGAGCGCUUUUCUCUAUAUAAGAGUUUGUCCAGGCUUGUCCUUUGCUACAAAAAGGAUUGGGCCACCUUGCUGCACUUUAUUUACUUUUGUUACUUGUUGAUCGUUACCAAUUAUCUUAUCACAAAACUAUCUGUUACCUAUAAUUUCAGUGCUUGCAGAGAAUACCUUGCUGAAAACCGCUUAUCAUUUCCUUCUGCUCCUCGUUGGGUUUGACACUCUUACUUAUCGAAAGGACUACGAUAGAUCCCCUAUACUUGUGGGUCAUCAGUGAUCAACGUGGCUCAUGAUACCAAGAUAUCAUGAGACAAGCUGGCUCUGAUCCAAGAUGAUGUAGGGUGGUACCCUAUACGGCCGAUCUUUCACGAAAGGAGCGGAUCCCGCGAAGAACACGAAGAACACGGGGAAGAACGGAGAGAAAUCACAAGGGGAAACACUCAAGAACAAGUCCAAUCACACAUCCACUAGAAAAUCAAACACACAAGAUCCACAAGGUACAUGAACAACAAAGGGAAAGAUACAAGGUAAAGUUCAUCUCCAUGAGGAGGUCUUGAAUGGGGCCGCCCAAGAGGGGGUCUUGAUGAUAUAUCCCGCAGGAUGUUCUCCUAGAUGGAGGUCUUGGCCUCCAUAAGGAGUAGUCUCUCUCUCUCUCUCUCUCUAGAGUAGAGGAAGGUAGGAGCAAAGCUCACACACAAAUGAGCUAUCACUUUGCUAACCCUAACUAGGAGGAGGGGAAGGAGUAUAUAUAGUCUAAGCCACGAAGGGGUAAGUGGGAAAGGGAUACAUGGGCCUCUGGCCCGUGGCUGCGCGCAGGCAGGCGUCCGAUGUCCAGGCUCUCGUGAGACGCCGGAUGUCCGGGGCGGUUGGCCAGAUGUCCGGCCCGAGCGGGGUGGCCUUCUGUUGGCUCAUGUUGUUGAUGCCGGAUUUCCGGGGGAAGGCCGGAUGUCCGGGCUGUGGCAUCGCGCCGGAUGUCCGGGCCCAUGAGCUGGAUGUCCGGCCGCUGAUGCUUCGGCCGUCUGUUGGUGCAGUUGUUGGGCGGCUGCACAGGCGCCGGAUGUCCGGCCUCUUGCCCGGAUGUCCAGCCGUUGUAGCUUCAGCAGCUCCGUCUUCUUCCGUCGUCGCUUGCAGGCUUCCCUCAUGGAUGGUGUAGUUGUUCCUUGGUGCUCGCACUCCUCCUCGUUGUCUGUAGUGUUCCGACAAUACCUAUGCAUGCACACGAGUGGAGUGUCAAGUAGUAUACCAUCCUCGAAGGUGUCAAUUGAGCACGUGUAAAGGAGAUGAUUCACCUUUGUGUAUGUGAAGAAGAUGUCGCACAUGUCACUCGCCGAACGGACUCUUGACAUGGUGAUGUCCAUAGGAUGCUCCGCAUCACCAACCCUAACCCUAGCCGCUACCCCACACGUCACUGCCAUGUCGUGGCCCUCCUCCCCCGGCUCCUCCACCACCCACUCGUCCAACCCGUUCGCUGGUCCUGAGCCCUCCGCCGCCGCCAUCCGUGACCUCAAUAUUGCGGCCCGGGUCCCCAUCCGUCUCGACAGCUCCAGCACGUCGUACUACACGUGGAAGACCUACUUCAACCUCGUCUUCCGCGAGUACUAUCUCACCGAGCAUAUCGAUGGUUCUGUGGACAGCGCGUACAUGCGCGGCGAUCCGGAGUGGUCCGCCAUCGAGGCCACGAUCAUCCGUUGGUUCUACCAGACAGUCUCGAAGGACAUCUUCCACACGGUCGUCGCCAAGGACGACGACGCCUGCAUCGUGUGGGCCAAGAUCAACGCGCUCUUCACCGACAACAAACUCCAGCGCCUUGUUUUCUUGCAGCAGGAGUUCUUCGGCUGUCACCAGGACAACUCCACCAUCGACGAGUACUGCAUGAGGCUCAAGAUGCUCGCCGACGAGCUUCGCGACAUCGGCGCUAAGGUCUCUGACGACCUCAUGCUGAGCACCCUCACCACCGGGCUUUAUGAGGACUUUGGUAACGCGGCGUCCAACCUCACCCUGCUGCCGCAACCCACCUUCCAGCUCGUCGUCGCGUACCUCAAACUUGAGGAGCGCCGGAUGACGAAGCUGAAGUAGCGGGUCCAGCACACCGCUCUCGUCAUCGGUACCACCCGCGGCGACCCUGCUCCUCCGGCCGCCCCCCGCCAGUCCGCCCCGCCAGCACCCGCCGGCUACUACCCACUGCCACCCGCUCCGGCCGCGUCCCCAGCGCCUCCCCAGCAGCCGCAAGGUGGCGGAGGCCGGCGCAACCGGCGGGGUGGCGGGGGCCGGCGCAACCGGCGGGGUGGCGGGGGCCGCCGCCAGCAGCAGCAGCAGGCGCAGGGUGUAGGGGGUGCCCCACGUCCAGUAGCCGCCUCCUCCGUGGGCCACCGGACAGAACCCGUGGACGGGCGUCGUCCACGCCUAUCAUAUGCCCAUCCCACGGGCUCCUGCACCGGGUCUCCUUGGCCCCCGUCCAGCGGGCCACCAGGCGUUCGUCGGCGCCCACUACCAGCCCUAUGGUGCCCCGCUCGCGCCGCCACCCCUCGGUACGCAGACGCCACCCUAUGGAGGCCAGCUACCGCCGCCGGCACCUGCACCAUGGGAUCCAGCCCUCCUGGCCGCCCUACACUCGGCACCGUCGUCGAGCAACUAUGGCAGUGGAGGCGACUGGUACAUGAACUCAGAUGCUACUGCGCACAUGACAGCUCAUACCGGUAACCUUUCCUCCUCCACUCCCGUUCACACUCCCACUCGCAUCACCAUUGGCAACGGUUCCUCUUUAACCAUCACCCAUGUCGGUAGCACUAGUUUUCCUUCUAGUUCUACACCUAUCACUAUGUCUAACGUUCUUCUUUCACCUGACUUAGUCACUAGCUUAGUCUUUGUUCGUCGUCUUACUCGUGAGAAUCCUCUUACUGUUGAAUUUGACGGUGUUGGUUUUUCUGUGAAGGACGCCCGUACCCGGAUGGUGCUUCACCGCUAUGAUAGCCCUGACGAGCUUUAUCCCAUGCACGCCGGCACCUCCACUUUCACACCCGUCGUUCUCUCCGGCGGCGUCGACCUUUUGCAUGCUCGCUUGGGCCACCCCAACCCCGUCGUUUUGCGUCAGAUUCUUAGGAGUUUUUCUUUCUCAUGUAAUAAGCUCGACGAGCAUACUUGUGAGGCUUGUCGUUUGGGCAACCACGUGCGUCUUCCCUUUAGUGCAUCUACUUCAGUUUCCUCUUUUCCAUUUCAGUUGAUUCAUAGUGAUGUUUGGACGUCUUCUGUUGCGAGUAACACGGGCUAUCUAUACUAUUUGGUGAUUUUAGAUGAUUAUUCUCAUUAUGUGUGGAUUUUUCCUCUUCCUCGUAAAUCCGAUGCUUUAGCCACACUCACCACCUUUUAUUCCUACGUCACCACUCAGUUCGGUCGCCCCAUACUUGCACUCCAAACUGAUAACGGAAAAUAGUUUGACAACAUAGCUCUUCGCUCCCUUCUCGCCUCUCACGGCACCACCUUCCGUCUGACUUGCCCCUACACUUCACAGCAGAACGGCCGCGCCGAGCGCAUUCUCCGCACUCUUAAUGACUGCGUUCGCACAUUGCUCUUUCACGCUAACGUUCCCGCUCGAUUCUGGCCCGAUGCCCUUGCCACCGCCUCUCUCUUAGUCAACAUUCGUCCGUGUCGUCCGUGAUGGAACUACGCCCCUCACCACCUUCUUUUCGGUACACCACCGUCCUAUGAUGGUCUUCGCAUAUUUGGGUGUCUCUGUUAUCCUAGCACCGCGUCCACCACGCCACACAAGCUUGCACCCCGCUCCGUCCCAUGCAUCUUCCUUGGCUACCCUCCCAACACCAAAGGUUACCGGUACAAUGAUCCUAUCACUCAUUGUGUGUACACCUCGAGGCACGUGUACUUCGUCAAGACGGUGUUUCCUUUUUUUCAGGUUCCUCCGACCGCAGCAUCCUUCGGCUCUGGCCUCCGCGCCCGCCACCUGGUGCGAUGCGCGGCGACACCCCCCGGCGCCCCCCCCCGGCCUGGUGCCUUCUGCCGCCCCCUCCUGGGUUCUCGACUCCCUCACCCGAGGUUGAGUCCGACCGGGCCCCGGNNNNNNNNNNNNNNNNNNNNNNNNNNNNNNNNNNNNNNNNNNNNNNNNNNNNNNNNNNNNNNNNNNNNNNNNNNNNNNNNNNNNNNNNNNNNNNNNNNNNNNNNNNNNNNNNNNNNNNNNNNNNNNNNNNNNNNNNNNNNNNNNNNNNNNNNNNNNNNNNNNNNNNNNNNNNNNNNNNNNNNNNNNNNNNNNNNNNNNNNNNNNNNNNNNNNNNNNNNNNNNNNNNNNNNNNNNNNNNNNNNNNNNNNNNNNNNNNNNNNNNNNNNNNNNNNNNNNNNNNNNNNNNNNNNNNNNNNNNNNNNNNNNNNNNNNNNNNNNNNNNNNNNNNNNNNNNNNNNNNNNNNNNNNNNNNNNNNNNNNNNNNNNNNNNNNNNNNNNNNNNNNNNNNNNNNNNNNNNCCCCUGUUGUGGCCGCGGCCCCCGACGCCGCUGUGGCCCCCGCUGCCGCGGCACCCGCCGCCCUCCCCGGCCCGGUUACCCGUGCCCGUGCAGGAGUGCAUCAGCCGAGCACGCGCUACUCCUUCGACGAGUAUGCGUGCGCUGCCUCGACAUCGACGCCAUCACCCAUCCCCACCUCCGCUCGUGCCGCCCUUCGGGAUCCCCAUUGGCUGGCUGCGAUGCAGGAGGAGUUGGACGCCCUACAGCGCAACCGCACGUGGCAGCUUGUUCCGCAACCCCUCCGUGCGAACAUCAUCUUUGGCAAGUGGGUGUUUCGCCACAAGACUAGCCCGGACGGUUCUCUCGAGCGCUACAAGGCUCGAUGGGUGGUUCGUGGUUUUCGGCAGCGCACGGGCAUGGACUUCACCGACACCUUUGCCCCGGUUUUGAAACCGGGCACGAUCCGCGCCGUCCUUCAGCUGGCCGUCUCGCGCGCCUGGCAUGUGCAUCAGUUGGACGUUCCCAACGCCUUCUUGCACGGUCAUCUCGCCGAGCAGGUGUUCUGUGAGCAGCCUACUAGUUUCGUCCACACCGAGCACCCUGACUUCGUGUGCUUGCUCUCCCGCUCUCUGUACGGGUUGAAUCAGGCGCCUCGGGCUUGGUACCAGCGUAUCGCAGUCUUCCUGCAGUCUCUGGGCUUUCGGUCCACUCGCUCCGAUGCCUCACUCUUUGUGUAUCGUCAGGGAGCUGACACUGCAUAUCUGCUGCUCUACGUCGACGACAUCAUCCUCACGGCGUCCGCCCCGAUCUCCUUCAGCGGCUGACUGCUCGUCUUCGUGACGAGUUUGCCCUCAAGGACUUGGGACCCCUGCACUACUUUCUUGGCGUCGAGGUGAUCCGUCGGGCUGACAGUUUCUUUCUGCCUCAGCAGAAGUACGCCCACGAGCUCCUUCAGCGUGCCGGUAUGCUUAACUGCAAGCCGGCACCCACCCCCGUCGACACGAAGGCGAAGGUCUCUGCUCUGGAGGGGUCUCUCGCGUCCGAUGGAGCGUUUUAUCGCUCUAUCGUCGGUGCUUUACAAUACUUGACGCUGACUCGCCCCGACCUGCAGUAUGCUGUUCAGCAGGUGUGCCUCCAUAUGCACGCCCCGCGUGACUCUCACUGGACUCUGGUGAAGCGUAUUCUCCGUUACAUACGAGGCACCAUGUCCUUGGGACUCACCCUGACGGCCUCCGCCUCCACCGACCUCGUGGCCUACUCGGAUGUUGACUGGGCUGGCUGCCCCGACACGCGACGCUCUACGUCAGGCUACUGCGUCUACCUUGGGCCCUCGUUGAUCUCUUGGUCAUCGAAGUGGCAGCCCACGGUCUCCCGCUCCAGCGCCUAGGCAGAGUAUCGCGUCGUGGCCAAUGCUGUGGCCGAGUGGUCUUGGAUACGUCAGCUGCUCCAGGAGUUGCUUUGUGAUGUUCACAAGGCCACUCUUGUCUACUAUGAUAACGUCAGCGCGGUCUACCUCUUCGCCAACCCGGUGCACCAUCGACGGACGAAGCAUAUUGAGUUCGAUAUUCACUUCAUGCGCGAGCCGGUUGCCCUUGGACGUGUUCGGGCUCUCCACGUGCCGACAACGCAACAGUUUGCUGAUGUGAUGACUAAGGGAUUGCCUACUCCCGUCUUUGAAGAGUUUCGGUCCAGUCUCUGUGUCUCCGGCAACGCUUCGACUGCGGGGUGUGUUGAGUAUGUAUUUUGUAGUGCACGUGUAUUGGAGUUGUGGCUCACCUCCUAGUCUUGUAUAGUUGAGGUAGAGGCCUUCCGUUGUAUUAUAUAUGCGUGCUCCAGCAUCCCAAUCAAUACAUCGUAUUGCAAAUUAUCUGUCUACACUGCUUUACUCUCUAACUUCCCUUCGCUAUUGUACACAUAAGACCACUAUAGCUUAGAGCAUCUCCAACAGCCGCGCCAAACUAGCGCCGCGCCGCAAAAUUGCCCGUUUUAGCCCGCGCGCAACCGGUAUAGUUGCUCCAGCGGGCACGCAAAAAUAGCGCGCGCGACAUAUGUAGUUCAGCGCGCGGGCCGAAACUCAAUCACACGCCGCUUAUUUGUUGCGCCCGCUCCCGCGCGCUGGACUCUCGCACGCUCGCUCGCAACUCCCACCCCCAUCCAGCCGCGCCGCCGCCGCCGACCGCGCCACCCGGCGACCGUUUCGGCGCUUCCCCGGCCUAUCCCCGCCACGCGGCGGCUUCUCCGCCCCCCUCUAGUCCCACCGCCCCUCGCGCGCGUCCGUCCUCCGGCGUACAGCGCUCGCUGCCGCUCGGCGCCCGCAAGGUGUUCGACAAAACGCCUAGAAGGUAUGUAUUGCUCAAAAGCCAUGAAUUUGGUGCAUGUUGAUUGUAGUUUUUAUAGCAUAGUAUUGAAUAUUGUAGAUGAGUUCGUCGUAUGAUUCUUCCGAAGAAUAAUUUGAUAUGGAAGAGGGGGAGGAUCUUGCAAUGAUCCUAGCUAUGCAUAUCAAUAAAAAACCAAAGCACGGUGGUUCGGUUAUGGGUCGGCAGAAAAUUUGGAGGGAUAGGAUCGAUGCCCACAACAGAUUGAUCAGGCAUUAUUUUGCGGAGAAUCCCACAUACCCCGAGUCGUAUUUUCGUCGCCGGUUUAGGAUGAGCACCGAGUUGUUCAGGCGCAUUGCAGAGAAACUAGCGAGCCAUGACCGCUUUUUUCAGCAAAGGAGGAAUGCCGCCAGAGAGCUCGGGCAUAGCACCUUUCAGAAGGUGACAGCCGCUUUGCGUAUGUUGGCAUACGGUAUACCGGCUGAUCUAGUUGAUGAUCACUUGGCUAUGGGUGAGAUCCAAGCCAUCAUGUGUGUCAAGCGCUUCGUCGGAGUUGUGCAAGUGUUUGGCGAGGAGUAUUUGAGAUCUCCCAAUGCUGAAGACGCCGCAAGGCUAUUGGCGAUGAACAAAGCUCGCGGCUUUCCUGGCAUGCUUGGCUCAAUAGAUUGCAUGCAUUGGAGUUGGAAGAAUUGUCCAAAGGCAUGGCAUGGGCAAUUCCACGGCCAAAAAAGGUUCCACUAUAAUCCUUUAAGCGGUGGCCGAUCAAGAGACUUGGAUUUGGCAUGCAUUCUUUGGAAUGCCUGGAUCUUUGAAUGACAUCAAUGUUGUCAACCGGUCACCACUGAUGAAUAAGAUUGCAAAUGGUGAGUUGCCACCGGUGCAGUUUGUAGCAAAUGGCCAUACAUACAACUAUGGCUAUUAUCUAGCGGAUGGCAUCUAUCCAAAGUGGCAAACCUUUGUCAAGCCGUUGAAAAAGCCGAAAGGUAAGAAAAAUCUUGAUUUCCACAAUGCUCAGGCGGCGGCUAGAAAAGAUGUGGAGAGAGCUUUUGGGAUUUUGCAAGCCCAAUUUGCUAUUGUGAGAGGACCGGCUAGAUUUUGGGAUCAGAAAAUGCUUUGGUACAUCAGAAAAUGCAUAACAUGAUCAUCGAGAAUGAGCGUGACCAAGAUGUAGACUACUCUCAGUAUGAGCUCUUGGGACAUCCCGUGCGAGUGCGAUGGAGGGCUCAAAGGGUGGCCCGUUUUGUUGCCUCCUAUCAUGCCAUUCGACGUUCCGCGGCGCAUAAUGAUCUUCAGAAGGAUCUCAUUGAGGAGUGGUGGGCAUGGAAUGGACGACAAAGAGCAUCAUGAUUUGUGCGUUCGAUAUUGUAUUGUUGAACUAUUUGUUGUGUUUAUUGCACUAUUUGUUGUAUUGAACGAUAAACUGUUUGUUUGAGUUGUAAUAACGAAAUUGAACUAUUUAUUUUGAUUUAUUUUUUUGUGUUUGAUCUUUUUGUUUAUGUUUUGGAAUGCAUAUGUUGUUUGUGCGAGAGUCGCGCGUGCUGCAUUUUUGCGCACUGCUGGAGCUGCGCGCGCUGUGCAUUUUAGCGCGGCUGCUGGAGCCAGCAUUGCGCGCCGCGCCAAAUCAGGCGAUGAGCGCGCGGCAAAGUAGUUUUUUAGCGGGCGGCGCGUUCGGCGGCUGUUGGAGAUGCUCUUACCUACCUUUGCUCCUGCAAGUCAGAGGAGCCGGCUCCGCUGCCGCCGCCGCCCCUCACGUUCCCGGCCGCCGCCCGGCGCCCCUCCCCUCCCUCAAGUACCCCCGCGUCUCGGUCGACCCUCCCCACCUCUCUAUUCCCGGCCGGCGCUCGAUUCCAGGGCCCUCGAUUUUUCCCCAUUCCCGAAAUCCCCAACCAGACCAAACCAAUGAAAAAAAUAGCACGCUACAGCAAAAUAGCGGCGACCUCAAAAUAUGCUAUUAUCGUGCUAUAGCGUGCUAUUAGCGAGACAUUGUACACCGAUAUAUUUAGCGAGGCAAUUCUCAAUACGCUAUAGCGUGCUAUUAGCGACGCUAUAGCACGCUAUUUUUUCCAGUGGACCAAACCCUCCCGUGUCUCUCUCGCCAGCCAUCGGGGCGGCGGCAGCCAAGGACGCGGCCUUGGCCGCUUCGGUUGCGGCAGCGGCUGCUGCCAAGGACGCGGCGGCGGCUGCGGUGACUGCAAAGGAGGCGGCGGAUGUGGCCAAGGACGCGGCUGCGGCGGCUUCGGCUGCGGCUUUAAACGCCAAGGAGGCGGCUGCGGUGGCCUCUGCUGCGGCAUUAAACACCAGGGAGGUAGCCGUGAGGGCCUCUGCUGCGGCCUUGGAUGCCGAGGAGGCAGCGGCUGUGGCGGCCACUGCAGGCCAGGCGGCGACCGCUGCGGUGGCAGCUAUGCAAGCUUCCCAGAAGCGUAGGUUUGCGGAUGCGGCAUUGGAUGCCGAUGAGACAGCACCUGCGGCGGCGACUGCAGGGCAGCCGACGGAGCCAAUAAAUGCCGAGGAGGCAGCGCCUUUGGCGGCGAAUGCAAGGGGGCCAGCGGCCGCUGCGGCGGUGGCGACGCAAGCUUCCAAGAAGCGUAAGUCUGCUGCUGUGGCGUUAAAUUACAAGGUGUCAGCGCCUGCGACGGUGACUGCAGUUGGGGUGAUGCCGGCGCCAUUGCAAGCAUCCAACAAAUGUAAGUUCCAGAUCAUCGACGUGGACCAAAAUUCACCAGGGAGCGGAGACGUCGAUGAUGCGGGGAGUGUCGAUCACAUCGGCCGCCUCCCGAACGCCGUACUCUGCAGUAUCGUCUCUCUUCUCCCCACCAAGGAAGGUGCCCGCACGCAGGUCUGUUAGAGUAGUCAUUAUGUAUACGACUUCUAGUCCAAGUCAGUUUUGUAGCCCUACCCCAACUCGGUUUGUACCCUCUUAUAUACUCUUGUAUGCCACACCAAAUCAUCAAUAAGCAAUAGUUUUAUUCAGCUUUCAUGGUAUCAGAUACCGGUCCCAGGGUUUAGGGUAUGGCUCCGCCAACGCCACCGCCGCCGCCGCCGCCCGGCUACUUCGAGCGCCGGGCCGCACUCAUCCCAAGGCUGCCAACGCCGCGGCCGCUUCUCUCUUGGCCCUCACCAUAGCUCCACAAAACUACCCUGCACCCAUCCUCGCCGCACCAAUAUCUCUUGUUGACACAAUCUCCGAUGUCAGCCCCUACAUCCCCAUAGUUCUUGAUCUCACCGCCCACAACUACUACCAUUGGAGACAUCUCUUCGAUCUCCACCUCGGCCGCUGCAACCUGCGCUCGCAUGUCGCCGCCAACUGUCUUCCCCGCCCCGACGAUCCGCAAUGGUUGAAAGACGAUCUCGCGAUCGUCCAGUGGUUCUACACCCGCAUCACCACCGAGAUCUUCAACAUGCUCGAUCACGAUGGCGCCACCGCUGCCAACAUCUGGCACUCCCUCCGUCAGCUCUUCCAAAGCAACACCGACGCUCGGAAAAACGCUCUCCACACCGAGCUUCACAAUAUGGUGCAAGAAGACGCCCCUGUGAACCUGUUCUGCCAGCGCGUUAAGACCAUUGGUGAUGAGCUCCGUGAACUCGGCGAUACAGUUAGCGACUCACAGCUAAUCAAUAUCGUCGUCGUCGGCCUCAGCAAAGACUUUGACAAGCAAGCCUCGUUCAUACCGAUGAUACGGCCCCCUCCUACCUUCGCUGAAGUUCGUUCCUUGCUACAACUCGCGGCGGAAACACAAGCUUGCAAGGACUCUCGCCCCAAGGUCUUUCAUGUUGCGGCUCGUCCUCGUCUAUCGUCUACACCAGCGCCGCCUUCCAGGCCGGCUCCAGCCGCCGGGCCGUCCGCAUCAUCAUCUGUUCAACCGCCCCCAGGCUGGCGUCCUAGUCCGAACUACCGCGGCAAAAACCCUAUCUACAGGCCGCCGUCGACUCAUUCGGUUCCGCCUAUGACAUCACCAGCACCGAGUCCUGCACCACCCACCAGUGCUCCAUCUGCGGUUGCAUGGCGGCCUCCUCAUGAUCCUUCGACGGGGCUUGUUCAAGCAUGGCCCAUGCACUGGUCCGCUCCAUCCACCCUCGGUGCUCCGCCGGCAUACUCAGGUGCCUGGCAACCCGGCCUUCGGCUGCCUACUGGUGCUCCCGGGGUUCUCAACCCCCGACAGCCGGCCAAUGCCUAUCACGCCGCACCGAUGUAUGCUCCUUAUGGUCAUUACACCACCGACGGCGGCGCCUACUACACACCUCAGCCGGCCCUGCUCCCGACGCCACCCCCACCACAGCCGGCCAAUGCCUACUACACUCCCCAGCCGGCCCUACUGCCUUCACCAUCGUAUCCGCCGGCACUGCUUCCGACGCCACCCUCACCUGCGACGCCGAGCUGGGAUCAAGCUGCCUUUCUCCAGGCCAUGAAUAACUUUGCUGCACAAGGAAACUCAGGUACGGAUUGGAUCUUUGAUUCAGGGGCCUCUAGUCAUAUGUCUGCAUCUAGUAAUUGGUUAUUUUCUUGCACUAAAUCUCCUUUCCCUUCCAUUAUCCUUGGAGAUGGAUCAUCUAUUCCUAUAUAUUGAGUUGGUCAGGCUCAACUUCCCUCUUCCACCAAACCUCUUUUACUUCGCGAUGUUCUAGUUGCACCCGCCCUCAUUAAAAAUCUUAUCUCUGUUCGCUAAUUUACUUGCGACAAUCUAGUUUCGGCUGAAUUUGACCCUUUUGGUUUAUCUGUGAAGGAUUACCUGACCAAGGCCGAGAUCGCUCGCUUCAAUAGCUCCGGUGAUCUUUAUUCUCUUAAUGGAGUUCCUGCCGCCACCCCUCCAACAUCCAUGCUGGCCUUCGUCGAUCUCUGGCAUCAUCGCUUGGGCCAUCCCAACCCCGCCGUCUUAACUUCUAUGCUUAGUGAAUUUACCAUACCAUGUAAUAGGGACUCUCAUAAUUCUGUGUUUUGCGAGUCUUGUCAAUUAGGCAAACAUGUGCGUCUUCCCUUUAGUUCCUCUAGUUCUUGUAGCACUUAUCCUUUUGAAUUACUACAUUGUGAUUUAUGGACCUCUCCCAUUGCAAGUGUUUCGGGUUUUAAAUACUACCUUGUUAUCCUCGAUGAUUUCACCCACUUUGUCUGGACUUUUCCUCUAUGCAACAAAUCCGAGGUCCAUUCUCUUUUCCUUAAUUUUCAACGCUAUGUGUCUGUUCACUUCUUCCUCCCAAUUCGCUUUAUCCAAUGUGACAAUGGUCGCGAGUUUGAUAACAUUAAAAAUCAUACUUUCUUCUUACAACAUGGCAUCCUGCUUAGGUUCUCAUGUCCCUACACAUCCCCUCAAAAUGGUAAAGCAGAACGCUCUCUUUGCACCCUCAAUGAUAUAGUUCGCACUCUCCUCAUUCAAUCAUCUAUGCCUCCCAAGUUUUGGGCUGAAGCCCUACACAUGGCCACCUUCCUUCUAAAUAUUCGACCUUCUAAAACUAAACCCAACACUACUCCCUAUUAUUCCCUCUUUCUUUCCCACCCCGACUACUCCGUGGUUCGUGUUUUCGGCUCUCUGUUUUCCCAAUGCCUACGCCACUUCUGCAAAUAAAUUGUCACCACGCUCUAUCCCAUGUGCUUUUCUCGGCUUCUCUGACGAGCACAAAGGCUAUCACUGUCUCGACCUUCACACCGGACACGUUCAUGUCUCUCGUCAUGUCACGUUUGCUGAGCACAUUUUUCCUUUCUCACAACGCACUACUACACCAUCCAACACCCCUAGCUCCGCAAACACCCCCUCUCCCCGUCCUUUCCAACUAUAUACUCCCCUACCUGCCGAACACAACUUAUCACCACCACCAUUAACACCCACCAUAGCCAAUCCCAACCAUACACUCACCCCAGCCGAGACGUCCCCAACACCCCCGGCCCCUGCUCCCUCCCCAACACCCCCGGCCCCUACUCCCACUCCACCACCCAGCCCUGCUCCCACUCCACCACCCAGCCCUANNNNNNNNNNNNNNNNNNNNNNNNNNNNNNNNNNNNNNNNNNNNNNNNNNNNNNNNNNNNNNNNNNNNNNNNNNNNNNNNNNNNNNNNNNNNNNNNNNNNNNNNNNNNNNNNNNNNNNNNNNNNNNNNNNNNNNNNNNNNNNNNNNNNNNNNNNNNNNNNNNNNNNNNNNNNNNNNNNNNNNNNNNNNNNNNNNNNNNNNNNNNNNNNNNNNNNNNNNUCCCUCCCCAACACCCCUGGCCCCUGCUCCCACUCCACCACCCAGCCCUACUCCUUCGUCCGACUCUUCCGCUGCGCCGGACUCACCAGUACCCACCUUACCCCCUCGUGCUAUUCCUACAGCAGCCCCGAUUAAUGAUCAUCGCAUGCGUACUAGGGCCAAAUCAGGAUUUCAUCAACCCCAAGACCGCCCAAACCUUCAUACCUCCGUAUCUCUCACUUCUCUUCCAAAGAAUUACAAAACUGCUCUACUUGAUCCCAAUUGGGCCGCUGCCAUGCAAGAAGAAUAUAAUGCUUUACUUCAAAACAACACCUGGCAACUUGUUCCUCGUCCUCCCAAUACAAAUAUUGUUUCUGGCAAAUGGAUUUUUCGCCAAAAGUUCCACUCCGAUGGGAGCCUCUCACGAUAUAAAGCCAGGUGGGUUUGUCGUGGUUUUUCUCAGCAACAAGGAAUUGAUUACGAAGAAACCUUCUCUCCUGUUGUUAAACCUAGCACCAUUCGCACCGUUCUUAGUGUUGAUGUCUCUUCUUCAUGGCCCAUUCACCAACUUGAUGUUAAAAAUGAUUUCCUCCAUGGUUCCCUUCAAGAAACUGUCUACUGCUAGCAACCUCUGGGUUUUGAAAAUCCAUCCUUUCCAACUCAUGUAUGUCUUCUUCAGAAAUCUCUCUACGGUCUUAAACAGGCCCCACGAGCUUGGUUUCAACGCUUCUCCUCCUUCAUUCAAACAAUAGGCUUCACUCCAUCUCUCUCCGACACCUCUCUUUUUGUGUAUCAUCAAACUUCUGACACUGCCUAUUUACUUCUCUAUGUAGAUGAUAUCAUUCUUACCACCUCCUCUCAAAAGUUCUUAGAUCAUAUUGUCUCUCUUCUUAGAUCUGAAUUUUCUAUGACUGACCUAGGACUCCUUCAUCAUUUCUUAGGCAUUGCUGUUGUUCGAGAUUCCUCCAGCCUUUUUCUUUCCCAACGCCAGUAUAUUCUUGAUCUUCUUAAUCGUGCUGGUAUGCUUGACUGUCAAUCAUCUCGCACUCCUGUCGAUACUAGUUUUAAACUUUCGGCUACCGGUGAACCCUUUCCCGAUCCUACUCUCUAUCGUAGCCUAACAGGUGCUCUCCAAUAUCUCACCAUUACUCGUCCUGAAAUCUCUUUUGCUGUUCAACAAGCAUGUCUCUAUAUGCAUGAUCCCCGGGUUCCUCACUAUAAUCAUGUUAAACGCAUUCUUCGGUAUUUAAAAGGAACUCUCAAUCAUGGUCUCCACCUCAAUAAUUCUUCUCCAAACUCGCUUACCGCAUACUCUGAUGCAGACUGGGCUGGUUGUCCUGACACUCGAAGGUCCACUUUCGGUUUUUGUGUUUUUCUUGGUAACAAUUUGAUUUCUUGGUCUUCGAAAAGACAGGUUACAGUCUCACGUUCGUCGGCCGAGGCUGAGUAUCGCGCUGUGGCACAUGCCGUUGCAGAUACAAUCUGGAUUCGGCAGUUACUCUCCGAGCUACACAGGCCUAUUGAGCAGGCCACUAUUGUCUACUGUGACAACAUAUCAGCAGUCUACAUGACCAGCAAUCCAGUUCAACACCGACGCACAAAGCAUAUUGAGAUUGAUAUUCAUUUUGUUCGUGAAAAGGUUGCUCUUGGUGAGGUUCGGGUGCUUCAUGUUCCCUCUACGGCUCAGUUUGCUGACAUUUUCACCAAGGCACUGCCUACUAAACCGUUUCAAGAUAUCUGUUUCGGUCUCAACGUCGUCGAGCCUGCCGUUGAUACUGCGGGGGGAUGUUAGAGUAGUCAUUAUGGUAUACGACUUCUAGUCCAAGUCAGUUUUGUACCCCUACCCCAAGUCGGUUUGUACCCUCUUAUAUACUCUUGUAUGCCGCACCAAAUCAUCAAUAAGUAACAGUUUUAUUCAGCUUUCAAGGUCAUCUCUCGCCGGUGGCGUCCGCUCUGGCGCACUGCUCCUCUCAACCUCGUGAUGAACCAAGAACUCAACAGCCACGACCACAAUUUGGUCGACUUGAUUUCAAAGAGGGACGACUUGAUUUCAAAGAUCCUCUCUGUGCAUCCUGGCCCCACACGCCGCUUCUCGCUCUGCCUCUCUAAUAGCAAGUAUCAUGGCAAGAUCAAAGGCUGGCUUAGUUCCCAAGCCCUGGACAAGCUACAGGAGUUUGAGCUCAUCCCCGAGGACUGGUUCGACGUCGGGGGUACGUUCUUCCUGCUGCCACCGUCCGUCUACCGCUCCGCGCCCAAGCUCCGUGUGGCCAAAUUUGGCGGCUGUCGUUUCUCCAACUUGAUUGUGAAGCUGUCGCUUGAGUUUCCGUGCCUCAAGCAGCUCACCCUGGAUAGAGUCGCCAUCUCGGAGGAUGCUCUCCAGAAUGUGCUCUCUGGCUGCUAUGCCUUGGAAAGCCUUGAGCUAAAGAAAAAUUCUGGCUUUCGUCGCCUCUGCAUCAGCUCCCAAACUCUUAAGAGUGUAGGCUUUUGCAAUAACUGGGUUAGAAAAAGUGUCCCUUGGCAAGAGUUGGUCAUCGAGGAUGCCCCUUGCCUUGAGAGAUUGCUACCACUUCAACCACAGGUUGGCCCAAGGAGCAUACGGGUAAUUUCGGCACCUAAACUGAACAUAUUGGGUGCACUUUCUGAAAGCAUAACAGAACUUCAGCUUGGAACCACAGUUUUUCAGGUAGCAGCAGCCUCUUCAUCCAUUGCUCAUUCGGCAUUCCUAUAUGCAGGCUGUUGUUCUUAUGAAUGCACUUGUUUUUUUAUGUAUUUGCAGAGUAUGAUUACUGUUGGUUUGACAACCAAAAUGCACGGGGGUGAGGGUUUUGGUUCUUGACUACACUGAUCUGGAUACAGUGGUUAACUUCCUCAAGUGCUUCCCCUUCUUGGAAAGGCUGUAUGUCUUUGUGAGUACAUUAACAUAGUUGCUUGCUUUAGAUGUCAAAAUCAGAAUUUGAGUUGCUGUGUUAUCUAGCCAGUUAUCGUAUUGCUAAUCUGUUGGUUACUUCUUUUGUAUUAUUUGUUCUCUCCAUUUCCAGUUCCAGUCAAGGAUGAGUUAUAUUAAUCCCCAGGAGUAUGACCCACCGGAACUGAUUGAAUGCCUUGAGCUGCAUCUCAAAGAAGUACUGUUGAAGAAUUAUGAUGGCACCAUCCCUUUGUGUAUUGACUUCGCCAAGUUCUUUGUUUUGAAUGCGAAAGUGCUAAAGGAAAUGAAAAUCACAUUGCCUUACCACCGGCAGUACAACUGGUUUGCUAAUCAACACCGGCUGCUGCGGACCAAAGAUAGAAUUUCUCAAGAUGCUCGAAUUGAACUGAAAUGCGGAACUAAAGUUUAUUUCACAGACAACAGGAACACCCAUGAUUUGUCAAUGACUGAUCCUUUUGACGUCCCCUCCACAGGAUGCAAAAAGUGUAGUGGAUCCCCAUUUUGAAGAUUGCCUUGUCUUCUGUUCAAAGCCCAACUUCUAUGUCGCAGGUUUUGUUCUAGUCUUGCGAGUUCCGAUUUUCUCGAAGAAAGGAUCUACUUCGCUCAGUGAUGGAAUGUUUUGUGGCCUAGUCAGAAUUAUACCUGGGCGAAGAGGUGGUGUCUAAGCUCAAGCUUCAAACCCGAACUUGCCGCUUGAAGGGGUUGGCCAGUAGUUUAUUUUAUGUGCUAUUGUGCUUGUUUAGAUCUGUAAUGAUUAGUUGGUUGUCGUUGUCUGUUUUGUUGUUUGGUCAUGUAAUUUAGCAGCUACUAUAUUUAUCUGCCGUAUAACAUGCUUUAGUGAAAAAGGAUGGCCUUCAUGCCUUUUGUCUCAAAUUUAUUCCUUUGCAAUUCACGACAGAAUGUUUGCAACCUUGUUUCUGCUAGUUUCAGUGAAUGACACAUCUUUGGUUUAUAGAAGUGUUUAUUUAUUGUUUCUGCUUUCAGGUGAUAAUUUGGUGUCAUGAAACCGUAUAGUGGUCUAACUUACCUAAUUCUUGUGUGUUAAUAAUCCUUUUCAGUUUGGUAAUUUCAUCAUCAUGAUUGUUAUUACCAGCCUGCAUACGUCCUUUGUUUUUUGG
rnacentral:lncRNA from 1 species